CCAAAUAGCGUCAUGCCCCGCCUGUGAGCGUGGCAAUCCUGUCACAAAGUCCAUGGUGAUCUUCUCCCACUUCCACACGGGAAUAGGCAAACUCUGAAGUUUUCCCGCGGGAACUCGGUGCUCAGCCUUUACUUGUUGGCAAGUUAGACAACGAGCUACAAACUCGCCAACGUCCUUUUUCAUCCCGGGCCACCAAUAAAGCAACUUUAGAUCCUUGUACAUCUUGGUGCCUCCCGGAUGUAUAGCAUACGGCGCUCGGUGCGCUUCUUGAAGAAUAUCUUCUUUAAUCCCCGAAUCCGCGGGUAUACAAAUCCGCCCACGGAAACGCAUCAAUCCCUGAUCGUCCAAAAGGAAGUCGCCGGUGCAACCAUCAACCAUUUUACCUCGAAUCUUUUGCAACUCCACAUCGGAAGCUUGCUUUUCUUUAAUUCUAUCCAAAAGAGUAGGUUGCACUACCAAAGUCAUCAAUCUCAAGGGUGUGUCAGGAGUCACCACCUCCAACUCCAACCGCUUCAUCUGCUCGAUCAACUGCGGUUGAGUCACAACAUGCAUCGCUAAGUUUUCCAUCGAUUUCCUACUUAGCGCAUCCGCCACCACGUUAGCCUUACCCGGGUGGUAAAGGAUCGUCAGAUCAUAAUCCUUGAGCAGCUCCAACCAUCUGCGCUGUCUCAGGUUCAACUCCUUUUGAGUAAAUAGGUAUUUCAAGCUCUUGUGAUCCGUGUACACUUCACACCGCUCGCCAUAAAGAUAGUGGCGCCAUAGCUUCAAUGCGAACACUACAGCCGCCAACUCCAAAUCAUGCGUAGGGUAGUUCUUUUCAUACUCCUUCAGUUGGCGAGAAGCAUACGCGAUCACCUUGCCAUCCUGCAUCAAUACACAGCCCAAACCAUUAAGUGAAGUAUCACUAUAAACCACAUACCCUGCUCCAGCUACUGGUAGGGUCAAGAUCGGGGCGGUAGUCAAUCGUUGCUUCAACUCUUGGAAGCUUCUCUCGCACGCAUCAUUCCAAAUGAACUUGACUCCUUUAUGCGUGAGCCUCGUAAGGGGAGUAGAUAACCUUGCAAAUCCCUCAACGAAUCUCCGGUAGUAACCGGCCAAUCUAAGGAAGCUCCGUAUCUCCGUGACGCUCGUCGGUCUCGGCCAAUCCUUGAUUGCUUCAAUCUUCUUAGGGUCCACGGCUAUACCCGAUCCAGAAAUCAAGUGUCCAAGAAAGGCUACCUCUCGGAGCCAAAAUUCACAUUUCUUCAACUUGGCAUAAAGCUCCUUUUUCCGAAGUACUUGGAGUACAAUCCUCAAUUGCUCCUCAUGAUCUGCAUCACUUCGAGAAUAGACCAAAAUAUCGUCGAUGAACACCACGACGAACCUGUCUAGAUAAGGCUUGAAAACACGGUUCAUUAGAUCCAUAAAAGCUGCCGGAGCAUUAGUAAGCCCGAAAGGCAUAACUGUGAACUCGUAAUGUCCAUACCGUAUUCUAAAAGCCGUCUUCGAUACAUCCUCAGGUUUGAUCUUCAAUUGGUGGUAUCCCGACUGUAAGUCUAUCUUGGAAUACACACACGAUCCCUGAAGCUGAUCAAACAAGUCGUCGAUCCUUGGCAACGGAUACUUGUUCUUGAUCGUGACUUUGUUAAGUUCACGAUAAUCCACACAAAGGCGAAGUGAUCCGUCUUUCUUCUUGACGAACAAAACUGGUGCUCCCCAAGGUGAAACGCUCCGGCGAAUAAAACCCUUGUCCAACAAAUCCUGCAGCUGUGCCCUCAGCUCCCUCAGCUCCGCCGGUGCCAUCCUAUAGGGCGCCUUUGAGAUUGGGGUAGUCCCAGGGACGAGAUCUACCACAAACUCAAUCUCCCUAUCAGGAGGCAUACCCGGUAGCUCAGCUGGAAACACAUCCUGAAACUCCCGCACCACCGGGAUAUCUUCGAUCCUAGGGGUAUCAUCCUCGCCCCUUAACACCACACUAGCCAAAUAGGCUACGCAACCUCUGCUGAUCAGCUGCCUAGCUCGAGACGAGCUGAUCGUCAUCGCAAACAGCGAACUCCGGCAUCCACAAAAUACCACCUCGGUCUGUCCCGGUUCUCUAAAAGUGACCAUGCGAUUCUUACAAUCAAUCGUGGCAUAAUACUUGGUCAACCAAUCCAUGCCCAAGACCACGUCAAAAUUCCUCAGCUUGCGCAAAGCUAGCAAAUCUAUAGGCAUGAUCCAAUCUCCUACCCGAAUAGGGCAACUGGGGCUAUACUCUCUAAUAUCCAAAAUAUGGUCGGGUACAACAACGUGUCCCGUAUGCAACAAAGAAACCAACGGGAUGCCAUGCAACUCGGCAAACAGCCGAUCUAUGAAUGAAUGCGAUGCACCGGUAUCAAAUAAAGCACGAACUCUAAUGCCAUCAAGCAAAAUAAUACCUGCAACCACAUCCUCGGCUGCUGCCGUCUCCUCGGUCUGAGCGGCGUAUAUGCGCCCACUCGGGGCUUGUCGAGAUCCCUCGCUCUGGCGCUGGACAGGUGGCCGCCCAGGCUGGUACUGUGUCGAUGGAGUCCCCUGGCUGGCGGCUGGUAGAGCCGGUGCCGAUGCAGUCGACGGUGCCGGUGAAGAACCUCUCGGGCACUCGGUACGCACGUGGCCCUCCUGGCCACACUGGAAACACCUGCCCGCCCGCUGUGGACACUGCGGUGGGUAAUGGGGACCACCGCAGAUCACACACGGGGAAGGCCGGCGCCGAUCGGAUCCUCCUCGCUGUGCUGCUGAGCCGCGUCCACGGUGCUGGCUCCUCAGAUGCUUCGGCGGCCUCCUAGAGUGCGUCUGGCUCGCACCCUCAGCCGCAGGCCUCUUGGCCUUCCCUCUGUCCCUAGCCUCACGCUGCUCCUGGACCUCUGUCGCGCCGCUCUCCACGAUGAGCGCGCGAUCCACCACCUCCCGGUAGGUUUGGAGGUUAGAGGAUUGCACAAACCGGAAGAUCGACGGUCGCAACCCUCGCUUGAAGAUGCGGGCCUUGUCCUCGUCAUCCCGCACGACGAAGGGCACGCAAUGCAGAAGCCGAGAGAACUCCCUCUCGUACUCGGCUACAGUCCUGUCACCCUGGCGCAAGCUACGCAAAUCCUGUUCCAUCUUCCUCUUGACGCUGGUUGGAAAGUAGUGCGCCAAACGAGGCUCCUUGAACCUCGUCCAAGUAAUGGCUGCCAAAUCUGUGCGGGGGUUCUGCUGGAGAUCCAACCACCAACGGUAGGCCUCGCCGUCCAAAUGGUGAGUGGCGAGCCAAACUCUGUCCCUCUCCUCCACGAAGGUGUCGCGGAAGAGCUUCUCCAUAUACAUCAACCACUUCUCCACGAUCCAGUGGUCGACUUUCUCGCCGUGGAAGACUCGGGGGCUGCACCUCCUAAACUCGUUGAGGCGCUCCAUCAGUCUAUCUCGCUCAGCCCCCCCAACCAAAAUAGGGAAUGCAGCUCCAACCGGGGGCCUCUGCACAGGCGGUGCUACCAAAACCUCCUCCUGGAGUGCGGCCGCAGUCGCCGCACGCGAAGAACUGGGCGCGGGGGACGGCGCUCUCGGUGCAACGUGCACAACUGGUGCUGGCGGUGUAGGGGCCUGAGUCUCCCUAGAAGCUGCCGCUUGCUGCAAUAGUAGAUCCUCCAGACGCUUCAUCCGCGCCUCCUGUCGGCGUGCCGCCUCAGUCUGCUGUCGGGCCACCUCCGCCUGCUGAGUGACCAAAUCAGUGAGGGCCGCAAGCUGGCCCCUCAGCUCACGGACCUCGCUGGAUCCGGAGGUAGCGGAGGUCUCGACCUCCUCGAAGUUUGCCGCAUUGUCGGCCCCGGCAGAUUGGGAGCGAGUAAUCGGCAUCGUCACUACAACAUCAUAAAAACGCAAGUUAGAAAUACUCACGCUAUCGCAUCCCCGCUCAAAAGACAAACCCCAAAUCAUGCGAAAGUAAGGAAGUGUUAUCCACAACUAAUUCCAGAUGUUACGUUGUCGGCCGCCAACGUAACCCUCCGCGAAGUUAGAAGCCAAACACUCCAAUCAACUCUAACUUUUUAGAGUUAUCAUAAUACCCAAUCAUGAUACUUUCGCUCACAAGUCGAAUAGACCUCGUCUCUCACGAGCCUAUUUUCUAUAGUCCAACCGGCCUAAGGUUUGCUAGGUCCCCUAAGACAUAACCCUAGGCUCUGAUACCAAAUUAAUCUGUCACGCCCCAGGACCCGGCGGAAGCCCGCCCGGCACGUGCCCAGACCCGCCAUACGUCUAAAACAUAUAAGGCGUCUAAAAACAACAAUAAUAGAAGUAAUAGUAAAAGACAUCUAGGAGUAUCAGAGCAUAGUAAAUGUCUAAAUGCUACAACAAAGGAUAAGGAUGAAACUGUAAAUUCACUAAAUAAGACAUAAAGUGAUACAAGUGCUAUAGGUAGAUACAUAGGUGGUCUCUAUACAUGGAUACAAAACCUCUCACUCUCUCAACUGCAAAAAGAAAGAGUAAACCACCUAGGCAAAGUGCCACUCCUCGCUAGCUAGCUAAGCGAUCCCCUUGCCGCGAUCCCGUGCCUCCGCCGGUGCCGAAGGCUCUGAAAAGUAAACAAUAAAACGGGGGCGUGAGAAUUAUUAAAAAUAGUUUCUAGUGGGCAAUUACUGACUUCAGUGAAUGCACCACGACGCCCAAAGUUACAAAAGAUGUUAGUGACUAUAAAAGUAGAAAAGCGAAAUGUAAGUAAAAAUGUAACUUACUACAACAUGAUAUCUCUACUUAGCAUAAUUAGCAUAAGUAUGAAGCAACUAUGCAUAAAGUAAAAGUCUCCAACUAUCAUAAUGCUCACAAUGCGAAAUAGUAAAGUUCCGUUGUUUACUAUUCUAGUCAAUGUCCAAGUAGUACACUAAGUCAUCAUCUGUCCACAUGUCAUAGUGAAUACUCAAAGUCAAAUCUGAAGAGACCCACCCGAAGGCUGUCUAUGGCCCUGAGACCCACCCGUAGGCUGUCUGGCCGGUGCCGAGCCUAAUGGCCCCGUGGUAGUCAUCAUCCCCACCCUAGGAAUGAGCCUGUCCCACGGCAAUCCAUUUCGGCGCCCAAUCCCGCACGGCGAAUAUGAUUCGCGAUGGCUAUCUCCGGAGUGCCGGCUUGUAGGGAGCAACCCUCACAAGCAUGUGCGAAUGAGUACAAUGGCAAGUAGUCAAACGAUCUGUCGCAAGUACCAAGUCCUCAUGUCUAAUAACAUGGAAUGUGUCAAGUAUCUCAAUGGCCUAUCCCUAUGUCAUCAUGUCUCUAACAUGGAAUAUAGCAGAUAUAUAGUGGCCUAUCAAUAUGUCUCAAUGUUGCAGUUUCAUAGUUUACUAGUUUCAAGUGCCCCUUGAUGACACUCUUGUUCUCUAUGUCAAAGCAUGGCAACUAUAUUCCAAAGUACAUAUUCUAAGUCAUAAUCCUCAUAAGAGAUGUAUUUUCCACUUGCAAAAUAAACACUUUACUCGUAUGCAUGCAUUCUACUCAUAUAGCUCUACUAUAUAGCGAAAUUUUCAUAAUACACAAGGCAUGCAUUUUAAGUGUUCUAAAAUUCAUAUAAAUUCUAUUUAAUAUAGAAAUUAAUUUAAAAAUAUUUUACAACAAGUAGAAAGAGUAUAGGGGUCAUUUCGUCCCAUUUCCAUGAAGCCAAACCCACCGAUUUUUCGAACUCUUCGUUUCGCCGAACGAAGGUAUCCACAAGCCUCCUAGAACCCUAAGGAUAUAGGAACAAGGGUUACUCGAAUGAAACGAACAACCAAAAGCUCAAACACUAACCAUCUCUUACUAAGGGCCAAAAACUCACCUCUUAUGGAAAAUCUCUUCAUAAGCUCAAAAAGGAGGCUAGAACCCUUCCAAACCAACCAAAAGGAAGCCUCUAAUCCACUCAAUCUAGCUUCAAAAGCCCUAGAUCCAAAAUGCCCAAAUUAAGCCCUAAAAUCUCAUUCUAGGGUUUGAUCUCACAAAAAUCUCAAAUCAAGGAUCAAAGGGAGAAAUCAAGUCUCUAACCUCUCAAGAAGCUCCAAACUUAGCUCCAAACUUAGCUCCAAUCCAAGUGAUGUUGGAGGUCUCCGCAGCCACUAGUUCCUCUCCGAGCUCUAAGCCAUCAACAAUGGUGGAGAAGCCACCAAGAUGCAAAUAGAGGAGAGAAAACCCAAUAAAAACCAAGCAAAAUGAGUAAAAAUGCAAAGGAAGGGAGAGGGAGCUCCUCCUACCUCAACUCCUGCUAGUCUCUGCACAGGGGAGGCCCUAAGGGGCGUGGGGUGCACUUAUAGAAGUGCUACAAUAGCAAAAACACCCCUGCAGACCAAACUGCACAAAAACUGCCUCCUUGUACCGGUACACGGGCUCUUGUACCGGACAAGGCCCACGAAAAUGCAAACCCGAGGCUCGGGUCGCAAGGUCUGCGGCUCUGUACCGGUACAAGCCCGAUGGCUGUACCCGUACAACCAUCAACCUUGUACCGGUACAAGACCAACCUUGUUCCGGUACAAGCUCUGCUGCAGGCUACCCGAGAGCUGACCAAAAAUUCCAGUUUCCUGAAUGUUUUGUUGCAAGUCUCAAUCCAACAUCCUCGGGAUGGACUGGCCAGAGGGCGAACACUAGAUCAACGACCCUCCAAAAACGUGGAGAGGCUCCACACACAGAUCAAACACUCGAAUCUUGCGAUUUGCAAGAUCAGUGCAUUACAUUGGUUGAAUAGUAUGAUCUAACGGUAAAAUGAUCAAAGGGUAGAUUUAACGGCGGAAACUUAGUAGCACCAAGUGCUUCGUGCUAUUAUAGCAUAGCAGUCGACUAUAUAUAUAUAUAUAGAGAGAGAGAGAUAGGCUACUAUACUAUCUAUAGUACGAGCUCGCGGACUAUAGUGUUGGUUUUCGAUUUAGGGCGUUCAAAUCAAUGAUCCAUACCGUUAAAACUGAUCUAGGAUAUUUAAAGUUUCUAGAAAUAAAACUUUAUUAUUUUUUAGACAUAGUUUACUUUAUGAAUCAAAUAUUCAAAAUUGUCAAUUUUAAUGGGCUAUUAUGACAUGUUUGGAGUUAAACGGUGUAGAAGAAUCUAAAUUCUUCAAAUUUGAUAGAAAAUAUUUUAAACUAAUAUAGAUUAAGGUUAACAUUCUUGAUCUUGAAUUUAAAAGUCCUAUACUCAAAUUUUAAAGAUUAUUCAUAUUUCACCGUCUAUUUGAUAAAUUUAUUUACUAGUAAAACGAUAUCGAAAAAACUAAAAUUUUAUUCUUAGAACAUUCAUAUACCCUAGAUCAUAUUUAACGGUGUGGAUCGUUGAUUUAAACGCCCUAGGAUCGAAACAAACACUAUAGUAUCGGAGCUCGUACUAUAGAUGUAUAGUAGCCUAUUUAUAUAUAUAUAUAGAGUAGAGCUACUAUACUAUCGGAAGUAUAAAAUUAUUGCUACUUUCGAUUUUUUAGCCCUUAGAUCAACUCAUUGGUCAUUUUUAAUUAUUGGAUUAAUAUUAUUAACCAAUAGGGACCACUCAACCCUAAGUGGACCAUUAUUAUUCUAACCGUAGAAUUUUUGAUCCAAGGGCUAAAAAAUCGAAGCACCAACUACUUUAUGCUUCCGAUAGUAUAGUAGCUCUACACUAUAUAUAUAUAUAUAUAUAUAUAUUUGAAAAACUUAAGAUGAUGAUGUAUUGAUGUAUAUUAAAUAAAUUAUUAAAGAAUUUAGGUGAUUCUGUUGAUUCGAGAGUUUUAAUUUUCCUACGUUUAGUACCCAACCGACCUAAAUUUUUACAUGAAACAAAACUGAAACUAACGUAAACGAGCCUGUUUGAUUGGAUAUAUAUUUCAAUUUAAACCGUAUAUGUAGUGCUCACUCCUGCUAUAUGAUGUCACCAUAUUAAUUGUUUGAUUGUGAUCCCACAGUUAUGAAUUAUGUACGGAAGUAUCACUAAAUUACAAAAAUAUUACUGUGCUUGCUUUAUCUGUUGUCUCAAUACCCUAUUAUAUGAAAAAUUAUAUCAAUUAAAAUUAGGUGAUAUUAACUAUUUUAAAUAGAAAGUUGCUAUUUGUACCCUGUGUAAAUUUUAUUUCCCUUUAAAUUUUUACUAUAAAAAAAUUGACGAGACAAGUAAUAUUUCCCAUUAAAACAAUAAGAGAACCUACAUAUGAGAUCUUGACCGAGGGAGCGUAAGAUCUAUACUUUCUUUUUCGAUAAAUAUACAUAUAAAUAAUAUUUCUCUUUCAAAUAAAUUUAUAAUUAAAGUUAGGUUAUUUAUUUCAGAUGCAAAAGUUUUUUGAAAUGAUAUGGCAUGCAACGAUGUUGCACAUUUGGUUGGAAGAUAUUUUUGGAACAAGAGGCCGCAUCUCCUAAUUUGUACCCAAGCAUUAUCAAAAGAUGGUGAAACUAGUUGUUCAGCUGAUUUAAAUUGAUUGAUUUUGAAUAAUUCGUUAAAAAUUGCUUCUGGGGACAAAGAACAAUGUUGUUCUUUUCUUAUUUUCUUUUUAUUUUCUUAUAUAAAUAGAUAAAUAAACAAGCAAAUAUCCUAAUAUAAAUAUUAUUUUUGUUAUAAAAUAUUGUUUUACUAAAAUUUAGACUUAAUUACACUCUACAAUGCUGUAUUUUAGUACUAUUUUCAUGUGCUAUAUUGUACAACUUUUUUUUCUCAAAGACAUCAUUGUAUUAUUUUAUUAUAUUAGCCUCUACAUUGUAUUUUAGAUUUAUAUUUAUUUGUAUAACUUGUACUUUUUCUUUUUCCUCAUAGAUAGUAAUUUUCUUUCCCUCAUCAAUCUCUAUAUUAUUGAUAGCAAAUUUAUUGUUUUAAACAAAAUUUAACAAUUUCAUUAAAAAAGACUAGUUAAAUAGUAAAAAAAAUUUAAAUAAAUCACCAUAAUAGAAAAUUUCCUAUCAAGUUAUUUUUAAUUAUUUUUAAUUUUUUAUGUCAAAAUAAGCUGAAUAUAUAUAUGCUUUGCCAGUUUUUAUCAGUAUUUUUUAGCAGUUUUAUAAAUUUACAAAUUUAUUUUCUUAUACUGUAGAGAUUGUAAAAGUAGAAAGCAGAGUGGUGCCUUUAAAAAAAUUAAUAUAGUAUAGCGCAAGUGAAAAAAAUCUGUAAACUAUAGUUUAAUUUAGCGUAAUUAAGACAAUUUUUUAUUACAUAGAACUAGGCUGGUAUACUAUCGGUAGCACCAAGACCAACGUGCUACCAAGUUGUUUUCGAUUAUGCGGCUUUCAAAUAAACGAUUGACUCCGUUAGACUUGAUCUACACUAUUAAAAAUAUUUAAAAACUAAAUUUCAUAAUUUUCAACAUUAUUUGACUAGUGAUCAAAAUGUCUCAUUAAUGACAAUUUUAAUAGCUGAUGUGUUACGUUUGUAAAUUUAACAGUAUAAAAUAAUUAAAAUCUGAUAAAAUUUUUAUAAUUUUUUUUUUACUAUUUAGAGUAAGAUUAGUACCUCUAAUUUUAAGUUCAAGUCUUUUAUCAUCAUUUUUUAAUAAGAUUUUUAUUUUCAGCUGUUCAUUUUUAGAUUACUUGUUUGAUAGGUAAAUGAUGUCGAAAAAUUAUAAAAUUUAGUUUUCAAAUACUUUCAAUCGUGUAGAUCAAGUCUAACUGAGCCGAUCGUUGAUUUGAAAACCAUAUCAUCGAAAAUAAGUUGAUAGCACGGAGGCUUCCGUGCUACUUACAGUAUACCAACCAGACUCUUAUUACAUAAUAUAAAUUAUGGAACUUGUAUGGCCAAUUUGCAUAAAAAAUCCACUUAUUUUGGACUUUUGCAAAAUCGGGCCACUUUUUUCGUUUUUGCAGAUUCGGUCUGCUUUUUCAGCAAACUGACCAAAAUACCCUUAUUACUUUUUCUCUCUCCUCUUUCUCUCACCUCUUCGUUCUCUCGUUCUUUUUUUUUUCCGCCGGAAAAAAAAAGCGAAGGCCAGGCGGAACAAAUUUUUCUUCUCUUUUUCUUUUUCUUCUUCUUCUUCCUCCUGCUGGAGCACCUUUUUUUUUUCCCUCUUCUUCUUCUUCUUCUUCUUCUUCCUGUAAGAGCACGGGGCGCGCCACGGUGACUUCCGGCCUCGCCAAGCAGCGUCCACCCGGCGGCGUUCUGCAGGGAGGGGUCGGCACCAGCGACCGCGAGCGCCGCGGCGAGGGUGGGGGCGCGUGGGAGGCGUGCGGCGAGGUGGAGCGGGGUGUCGCAGCCGGGGACGUCGCGCCGGUCGAGGGCGGCGGUCACGCGCGCCGCCCGGCGCUCCGCUCGGGCGGCGUCGGCCGCCGUCGCGAUCUCCGACGGCUUCUUCUUCUUCGUAAUGGUGUAAUGGUGCACGCAGGCCGGUGCACGCAGUGGCGGCGAGCGGGCACGCGGGCGUGCUGCGGCUGCUUCUUCUUCGUCAUAAUGGUGUAAUGGUGCACUAUUACACCAUUAAUGGUGUAAUGGUGUAAUUACACCAUUAACGAUGUAAUGGUGCACCAUUACGCCAUUAAUGGUGAAAUUACACCAUUAAUGAUGUAACCAUUACACCAUUAAUGGUGAAAUUACACCAUUACUGGUGUAACCAUUACACCGUUAAUGGUGUAAUUACACCAUUACACCAUUAAUGGUUAAUGGUGUAAUGGUGUAAUUACACCAUUAACGGUGCACGCGGCCCGCGGAGCGGAGCCGCGGGUGGAGCUCCGGCGCCGCCGCAGUGAAGCCAUGGCUCGCCGGCGCCGGCGGUGGCGCCGCCGCAGUGAAGAUGCCCACCGCUCCCUGGAUGACAGGCCCCCUCCUCCUCGCCUUCGACCAUGUCCUCGACUUCUCCCAGAAUCCUCCCCUCCAACCAUGUCCUCGACUUCUCCCAGAAGCAGAACCUAAAGCAGAAGCAGAAACAGAAGCGGGGCGAAGGAGACGCCUCCUCCUUCACCGCCACGGUCCCCGUCGGCCGUAGCCGCCACGCGAUGCGCGGGAUUGUCCGCAGCAUCCGCUCCCUCGGCGACGCGGCUGGCGGGCCGGCGGAGGCGGGGGACGAUGGUGGCUAGCGCGAAGAAGGCCCGCCCCGCGUGGGGCGGGGGCGGGGGGAGGAGACGCUGGUGUUGGGAGGGAGAAGAAGGCGAGGACGCCUGCGGUGUCGAUCCGCAGCCCGGCGGAUCUCGAGCGCGGCGGCAGCGGCGGGGGGGCGGCCGGCGAACGAGGCCGCGGCGGUCGCGGCGGGGCGGAUGAGGGCGUGGCGUUGCGCCGGCAGCAGCGGCGGCAGAAGCUCUGCCGCGGCGAUGGCGCCCCCGAUGCCGAGCUCUGCCGCGGAGCUCGGGGGCGGCGCGGCACCCGCACAGGGCCGGUGCACGCGGUGGUCUGCGGCGUCGGGGGUCGAGCGGGCGCGCGGGGGAGGUCUGGGUCAGCCGAGCCUCGAGGUUGGCCGGUGCAGCCAACACCGCCUCCCUCCCCUCCGUCGGCCGUCGCCCGGAGGAGGCGCACGUCGACGACGGCCUCGGCAGCAGCGCUCGCUGUUCCGGCUGGCCGGGUUCUUCAUAAUGGUGUAAUGGUGGCACCAUACACCAUUAAUGCGGUGUAAUUUCACAAAUUAUGGUGUAAUGGUGCACCAUUACACCAUUACACGAUUAAUGGUGUAAUGGUGUAAUUACACCCAUUAACGGCACCGCGGCCCGUGGAGGCGGAGCCGCGGGUGGAGCUCGGCCGGGCCGCAGCACGAGCAACGGGGAAUGACGACGACGCGCGGCGCAGGGUCUGCUGGCUGCUACUGGAAGAGGAUGAGGGCGGCGGCGUCGGCGGCGUCGUUGGAGGAGCGAGGGGAGGGGGGGCCGAGGCGGCGGAGACGAGGCGAGGAGGGGCGAGGGGGGCUACGGCGUGGAGCUCGUCGGGCUUGUGGGCGAAGAAGCAGAGCGCGGCGGCGCAGCCGAUCUCGGUCCUGCAGAGGCGCGGUGCGGUACUGGGCCGGGUGGAGCCAGGGCUCGACACAGCCGGUCACGAGGAGGGAAGAAGAAGAAGAAGAAGAAAGAAGAAGAAGAAAAGAAGUGGGAAAAAAAAAAAAGGUGCUCCAGCAGGGAAGAAGAAGAAGAAAAAGAAAAGAGAAGAAAAAAUUGCUCCCCGCCUGGUCUUCGCUUUUUUUUCCGGCGGAAAAAAAAAAAGAAACGGAGAACGAAGAGGAGAGAGAAAGAGGAAAGAGAAAAAGUAAUAAGUAAUUUUGGUCAGUUUGGCUGAAAAAACGGACCCGACAUCUGCAAAAACGAAAAAGGUGCCCGAUUUGCAAAGGCCCAAAAUAUAGUGGAUUUUGAUGCAGAAUGGCCAACUUGUAUAAUAACUAAUACAAUUUAGACCUGAAUAAAGAGUGAUGUUAUAUAUUUUCCACCCAGGCGAUCCAAAUUGAUAGUUUGUGAAAUAUUUUAUUUAAUUUUAUACAAAGAAAUAUAAAAUCGUUACUCAUUAGAUUUAUUGGUCGUGAAAUGUGAAUUUUACCAAGUAACAUCAUUUUUUAGGCAAAAUGCAAUUUUGCCUGCAAAAUUAACGAUGAGCCGUGCGACAGUUUGAUUCCCAAAAUUUAAUUUAUCAUAAUUUUUAACUCAAAUUUAAUUUUUAAACAGUUGCAAUCAAGUCUCACAGUUUAAUUUAAUUUGCUGAAUGAUGAUAAUUUGUUUAUAUGACAGUGAUAUGGCAUCUCUUAUUGUUGCAAAUGUGACAUAUUAUCAUUUAGUGAACUAAAUUAUAUUAUGGGACUUGAUUAAAACAAUCUAAACAAAGUCGAGUUAAACGUUAUGGCGAAUUAAAAUUUGAGUGCCAAAAUAUCACACACUGUAUAGUUCCAGGGUGAAAAAUGCAAUUUAGCAAACUUAUUAUUAUGUUAAAAGAAUGUAUGUUAUUAUUUAGGAGUAACUACUUAUAUACCCCUGAAAAGUUUCUGACUUUCUAAUUUACUCCUCUUAAAAGGCUAAUAUUGAAAAUACCCUUUAUACGUUCCAACUUAUUUCAAAUAUACUCAUAUAGUUAAAAUUCGUUAAUGAACUCUGUUAUCUUUGUGAAAUUACAAUCUUGCCCUUUCAAAUAUGCCUUUCUACCAUCAUCGACUUUUUUUAUUUGCCCUUAAGUUAGGGGCAUAAAAAAUAUAUUGCUUUUUUAUCUUUUCAAAUAUAUCCUUCUAUCAUCACCGGUAUUUCUUAUUUGCCUUUAAGUUAAGGACAGAAGUAGCAUUUUAAUUUUUUUUAACUGUAGUAAAUAUUUAACUUACGUUUAACCUAAGUUAACUUAACGGGUGGUAACUGUAGGGGUAUUUUAGAAUAACGGAGGAACAUAUGACGGGUAUAUUGAAAAGAAAAAAAAUAGUGAUAAAUGAGAUAUUUUCGAAAUUUUGAGAGGUAUAUAGGCAAUUAUCCCUAUUAUUUACCACAAAGUCCAUGCUUAAUUUGUGUAGAUUUGGUUUAGUUGAAUUAAUAGCCAAAUUAAUGUCAAAUGACCUCUCCAAAUUUAAUUAAUUUGAUAACUAGAUCUCAUAAAUUUUAUCUAAUAAUAUAAUUAAGCCUUCGCCAAAAGGUUCCUACGUUUUCUUAAUUUUCUCAAGUAUUAGAAUGCUUUUUUUUUUAAAAAAAUGCCACUUUCCAACAUUAAUUUUCUCAAGUAUUGGAAUGGCUGUAAAUAUAGUUAAUAAAUUUGCCUGGGAAAGAAAAAAAGAAAUGCUACACAUAUAUAUCUACAUAUAUAGAUUUGAACUUAUCAAUUUGUCCAUUCUAGUAUUUAUAAAAAUUUAAAAUAAAUUUUGAACAAAAUAGAAAUGAUAAGACAAGUUAAAAGUAAUCGGCUUUAAAAUGAGAAAGCUGUGAGAUAUGUCGCUAGACUAGAAAUGUACAAAUAAUAUUGUUUGAGACAAAAACUAUUAAUUAAAUUAUUGAACAAAAUUUGAAAAGUUUACUACUCAAAGGGAUUGUUUGAUUAAUUACACGUAAUUACAAUUGUAUUGCAUAUCCAAAUUAAUCCAUUAUUUAUUUUGAUGCUUUUGAAUUCUGCAAUAGCAACUGCAUGAUAAGGCUCAACAGUUAGAAUUAUGUCUAAACUAGUGAAGUUACCCGCGCAUUGCGGCAAAUUAAUGCUAUAGAAGAUAAAAGAUUGAUAAAGUUAAAAUUUUAAAAUUUUUUGAGUUGUCAUGAGGCAUCAAUAGAUACAAAUUAAUAGAAAAUAUAAAACAAAUAUACAUAAAUGUAGCAAAAGUUAUAACAGUAAAUAAAUUAUAUAUAAUAAUAAUGAAAGAAACAGUAAUAGAGUUACUACUCCAAAUGCACCUUCGUCGCCCUGUCGAGAUCGGACAGGCGAUUCUCGUUUUUUUGCAUCGCCUUCACCGCCAUUGUUGGCGUCGAAUUUCUCCUUGAUCAUGGCCACGUCAAUGCUGUACGGAUCCCCCCACACCUAUCAUUUCUUUUCCCUCAUUGACUCCAAAUCCAUCACACUUCACCUUGCCACGUUCCGCAAUCCUUAAAACUAUAAUUUCAAUCCAUACACAAUUUAAAAAAAUAAAAAAAAUGAUUAAGAAAAGUAUAAAAAUUGAACCCUUCAUUUGCACUAAGAAAAAACAAAAAGAAAAAAAAUGCGAUAAAAAUGAGUAUGAAGAGAUCUUAUUUUACUCUUCUUUUUAAAAAGAGAUUUGUUUAGAUGAAAAUGGAUCAUGUGAAUACAUUAUUAGAAAAUGGGCGGAUGGAAAGACGAAGUAUCGAAUAGAGAUGAGGUGGGAAGGCGAAGCAUUAAGGAGUGAGAAGGGAGGGAGGUGAAGGAGGAAUUGCCACGUGACAAUCUCCAUAAAAAAUAAUGUAUACUAGUGUAGGAAUCUGUGCGAUAAAUUAAAUAUACAAAUAAAAAUAUAAAAAUAUAGUAAAAAAUAAUUAAUAUUUGAUUGGUUAAUAAUAUAAAAACUAUAUUAAAAAAUUUUUUAGAAUGAAAAUAUAAUCCAAUGGAGAACAAAGAAAGAAAACAAAAAAUAAACAAUAAGAGAAUAAAAAUUGUUGAUAGGAAUUAAAAAACCAUAAUUGAAUGCAAGAAUAAAAGAGAAGAGAAAAAAUAAAAAUGUGAUUUCGUUGGGGUUGGUUUUAUUACUUGACGAAUUAACGUAAAAAAUAUUUGAAAGAAAAUUAGCCCCACCUUAAUUAAAAGAGAAAGAACAUGGGCUCCACAAAAGAGGAGGGGAACAGUCCGAAUAAAAAAAAGAUAACAUAAGAAAUAUUUGGAAGGAAGCGGUUCCAUCUUAAUUAAGAAGAGAGAAAAUGGACUCCAUGCCUCCACUAACAUUCUAAUUAAGAAGAGAGAGAAUGUGAACUCCAUCCUAAUUAAGAAGAGAGAAUAUGAGCUCCAUGCCUCCACUAACAUCCUAAUUAAGAAGAGACACUACAACAGAAUUAGGUUAUAGGGACACAUGUUUGGAACACUUUUGAGUAAGUGUCCCAUUUAUCCUAAAACGUAAAAAAACAUCUACUAAUGCCUAUAUAUAAAGUCCAAUCCAACCAAAAAUAAAAGAUUACUCUACUCAACCCACCACACCCAGUCCAUUUGGCCCGAUUACAAACAGAAAAUACUACACCCGGGGGAUCCCAACUCACUCAAUAACCAACUUAUCAUAUUAGAUUACCUAUUUUUAUUAGUUUCCCAAUUUAGAUUACCGGACGGACAGAGCACCCGAGCCUCUACACAUAUUCUCUGAUAUAUAUAUAUCAGGCCGAUGAUAAGAUAAUUAUCGUGUUUCGUGAACCACGAUGGUUCAAAAGACGGCAAUCUAGAUAGGAAAACUAGUAAAAAUGGGUAAUCUAGUAUGAUAAGUUGGUUGGUGGGUGAGUUGGGAUCCCCCAGGUGUAGUAGGAUUGGCGUAUAAAGAAUUAGGUUACCGGUUUUCGAAUCAUGGUGGUUACUAAACCACAAUAAUUAUCGUAUCAUCGGAUCAAGAUAUAUAUAUAUCUCUCUCUCUCUCUCUCUACCUCUUUCUCUCUCAACUCGAUCUUAUGAAAGUUUUCGUGGUUACUCCAACACGAAAACUCAAAAAUUGGUAACCUACCUCCUUACAUUCCAACACUACUACCACCAUCCAGCACCAUCCACCUUAUCACAAACUAGGUUACCGAUAAUCAUUAGUUCCUCAUCUAGGUUCCCGAUCUUUGGAUUUUCGUGAUUAUUCUACUAUGAAAAUUUUCAUAAGAUCGAGUUAAGAUAUAUAUAUAUAUAUAUAUAUAUAUAUAUCAUCCCGAUGAUAUGAGAAUACUCAUAACCUGGAAAGCAUGAGUAUUCAACAAAAGCUACUACCCCGAAGGCUUAGCUGCUAGGUGAGGUAAUUUAUACUAGAUCGUAUAAACUAUGAAAAUCUUUUAUUUAAAGUAUUAAAAAGCUUUAUUAUUAUUUCAGGUAGUUCGGCUAUAUUUUACUUGUCAGUUUUAGCUUGCAACAGAAUUUUUACCUACUAGCUUAAUUCUAGCCUCAAUAACUAGAAAUAAAUCCAUCGCUUAUCUUAAAAGAUAGUUUUUAAGUUAGAUAAGGCUAAGAAAACGUGGCAACUAAACCUUCGGAAUAGUAGCUUUUGUUGAAUACUCAUGCUUCCGCUAACAUGAGUAUUCUCAUAUCAUCGGCCUGAGUAUCUAUCAUCCCGAUGAUAUGAGAAUACUCAUAACCUGGGAAGCAUGAGUAUUCAAUAAAAGCUACUACUCAUAACCUGAGAAAUAUAUAAUAAUAAUAAUAAUAAUAAUAAUAAUAAUAAUAAAAUAUAACAUGAUAUUUUAUAUUACUUAGGAGUAUCUAAAAUUCGGGAGAAGCGUUAAGUGCUUUUUUUCACCCGGGGAGGGGAGAGAUUUGGAUAUCUUAAUAAGAGAAUUAAUCACCUCAGGUGUAAGAGAGAGUGAUGUCGUUUUUACCAGAUAUCGCUGUGAAAAUUUACAUCCAUGUAUAGUUUUUUCACGACGAUCGAUUUUAAUGGCUGUGAAAAUUUUUCACAACGAUAUACACCCCAGCGAUCUAUAUAUCACUGUCAAUUUCUCACAGCGAUAUUGGAUUUUCUCACAACGAUUAAAUGGUUGUGAAUAAAUUCGUAAAUCGUUGGCGGCUUUGAGAUAGAGCAACCGACGCCACCACCUCCUCCUGCUGUACUUUCCGAAAAGCAGAUCUUAAAGUCACCUAACUCACUUCUCUCUUCUUUUCUACCAUUAACUAAAAAGAAAAAAGAAGNNNNNNNNNNNNNNNNNNNNNAUUUAAAACUUCUAGAAAUCAAAUUUUAUAAUUUUUCGACAUCAUUUACCUUACGAUCAAGAGGUCACAAAUUUGACAAUUUUUAAUUGCUGGUAUGGAAUACUUGCUAGUUUAACGGUGUAAAAAAAUUGAAAUUUGUUGAAUUUUUUAUAGAAAAUUCUAUUCACUACCUAGAUAAAGAUCAAUAACUCCGAUCUUGAAUUGAAGAAUCUGAUCAUCCUUUUUUAGGACGUCGUUCGAUUUUGACCGUUCAUUUUAUGCCCGCUUGAUGGACUUUAUUAUGAUUUCGAAAAUUUACGAAAUUUAUUUUCUAAAAGUUUCAAAUACUCUAGAUCAUAUUUAACGGAGUGGAUCGUCGAUUCGGAAGCUCCAUAAUCGAAAACAACUAAUGAGUACGAGGGCUCCAAUACUCAUAAUAGUAUAGUAGCCACGACCUAUACUAUUUACAAUAAGAUCAAUAUUUCUGAUCGAAAAUUUUAGUGCUAUAUCACCACUUUUUAUAGGAUUUUUAUUUUCAGCCGUUAAAAAUUAUUGAUUUUGAUUCUUUUCGAUUGCUAGGUAAAUAAUAUCGAAAAAUCGAAAAAAUUAUUUUCUAGAAACUUCAAAAACGCUAGAUCAAGUCUAACGGAGCCGAUCGUCGAUUCGGAAAUUUCAUUAUCGAAAACGGCUCAAGAGCACGGAGGCCUUCGUGCUCCUGAGAGCAUAGCAGUCCUGCUCUAUAUAUAGGUAUAGAGGUACAGAUAUAGAUUGGCCACAAUUUCAACUAUAGUACUUAAAAAAGAGAAUAAUUUUAAAUAAAAAUAAUUUAUCUCCCUAAAAAUUUUUUAAAUAGAUUUUUUUUUCUCUUUUCCAUAUAGGGGAUAAUCUUAUCCCUCCUAUAUUUAUAUAUAAAACAGUAAAAAUUCGAAAAUUAAUACACUUUUUAAUCGCAUUGCACGUAAAUAAAUAUUUUAUUUAUUUUUAUGGUACUUUCAACUAUAUAUGUCCAACCAAAAAAAUACAUAUAGUUAUAAUUAAUUUAAUUUUAAGUAUAUAUAUAUAUAUAUAUAUAUAUAUAUUAUAUUAUAUAUAUAUAUAAAACUAUACAUAAAUAUAUAAUUACAUGGAACCAAAGAAGGCAAACAUAAAAAAAAGAAAAGAAAAGAGAGAAAGUGGGAGAAGGUGUUCGUACAAUUUUUCUCUAUAUAAGUUUUUUGGAUGAUUAUAUAUAUAUACUAUAUAUAUAUAUAUAUAUAUAUAUAUAUAUAUAUAUGAGUGCGUCUAGUAUGCUUCCGGAAGCACAGAGCGCUCCGUGCUUCCAAGUUGUUUUCGAUGUUCGGACUUUUGAAUCGACGAUCGGCUCCGUUAGACUUGAUCUAGAGUAUUCGAGUAUCUAGAAAAAUAAAUUUUGUGAUUUUCGAUAUCAUUCGGCCCAAUGAUCGAAGUGUCAAAAUCAAACACCAUGAAAAUAAAAAUCUUACAAAAUAUGAUGAUAUGACAUUAAAAUUUUAGAUCAAAGUUAUUGAUCUUGUUUUAUAUGGUAUAAAGAAUUUUUUAUCAAAAUUUCAUGUGAUUUAGAUAUUUCUACACCGUUAAACUUGCAAACGGCUCACCACGGCCGUUAAAAUUAUUGAUUUUGAGCCCCUUCGAUCACUAGGCAAAUGAAAUCGAAAAAUCACAAAAUUUAUUUUCUAGGUACUUCAAAUACUUUAGAUCAACUCUAACGGAGCCGAUCGUCGAUUCGAAAGUCCGAACAUCGAAAACAACUUGGAAGCACGGAGGGCUCUGUGUUUCCAGAAGCAUGCCAGCCCACUCUAUAUAUAUAUAUAUAUGGCCUAUUUGCAUAAAAAAUCCACUAGUUUUGGGCUUUUGCAAAAGUGGGCCAAUUUUUUUGAUUUUGCAGAUUCGGACAGGAUUUUCAGCAAACUGACCAAAAUACCCUUAUUACUUUUUCUCUUUCCUCCUUCUUUCUCCUCUUUAUUUCUCUCAUUCAUUUUUUUUUCUCUCGCCGAAGAAGCAGCGGAGGCAGAGGCGGAGGCGGAAACGACCCACCUCGCCUCUCACCCUCUCGCCCUCGCCCUUGCCCUCACCCUCGCCCUCGCACGCGCACCCCGCACCUUCCUCGCCUCCGACCCCUCCAAAGCCGCACCGCGACUCUUUUUUUUCUUUUCUCUCUCCGACUCUCCUCCACCGUCUCCGACGACGAUGUCUCUCUCGCCCUCUCUCACCCUUCCCUGCCCUUCUCAUCCUCUCCCUCUCCUUCUUCCUCUGCUGCCUCCGACGACCACGCAUCUGCGUUGAUGCUGACGCCGUAGAUGUAAUAUACCGAAACCUCGGUAGAGUAUAUCGGACAUUAGUCAAAUUGACCAAAGUGUCGGAGAGAAUAGCUGGACAAAUUUCACUUAACAUUCCAACAAUGUUGGAAGGGUUAAUGUUGAGUUUUAAAAGAGUUAGAAAGGUUUUAGCAUUGCUCGACGCGAAAUAGAAGCGAAACAAUGCAAAACUGAAACUCUGGAGUUUUUGUAACCGGUUUAACACCAGGAGUGUACCGGUACCAGGCAUCAGACCGAGAGAAGCAGCUCUCGGGUUUGAAAAAAAAAGGCUGUUGAACCGGUGACAAAAUCGGCUUGUACCGGUACCAGACUGCUGGCCGAGAGAAGGAGCUUUCGAGUUUGCCUCUGCGUAAUUGUGUAACCGGUGACAAAAAUACCUUGUACCGGUACCAAGUCUGCAUCACAACAGAUUUUAGUCUGCUGCAAAUAUAAAGUUUUGGGGUGCCUGGUUGCUAUUGUAGCAACCUAUAUAAGACCCCAACACCCUCUCUUGUUUACGGCAAGCUGAGAACACAUUUCCUCUCUCUUUUCUCCCUCUCUCUCUCUAGAAACUCUCUCCCAAGCUAAAGGAGGAGCUCAAGAGGUGGAUUUUGGAGGAGAUUUGGGAUUUUUGAAGGGUUAGAGCUUUCCUAUAAGGUGGACCUUGGAGUGCUCUUGGGCUAAGGUGAGUUUUUAUGCAAGAAUGAUACUAGGGUUUAGUUUUAUACCCUAAAUCUUUGAGUUUUGAUCUUCUUGCAAGGUUAGAAACCUAGUAGAGGCCAUGAACACAAAAAAAUUCAUGUUUUCUUCAUGAGCUCUCAUGAUGGAUUUCUAGGGUUCAUGUUAGAUGCCCUAGGAAUGGUUUGAUUGACCUAGAAAUGGUUUUAGAGGAAAUCUUAGAUGGCUCUAAACUUAUUUUUGCUUAGUUCUAAGAUCAAUUCAAGGAAUAUCACUAUAUGGCAUUGUUAGGGUACAAAAAUUAGGGCAUUUGCCCUAAGUUGGUUUAAAGGCAAAUUGAUCUUAUAGAAAUCAAAUUCGGGGUAUUUCUAACUUACUUAUUAAGUUGGUUUAAAGGCAAAUUGAUCUUAUAGAAAUCAAAUUCGGAGUAUUUCUAACUCGUUUAUGGACUGGGUUCGCCGAUCUGACGAGUCUACGCAAAGUUAUGAGCAAAAAGUCUAAUUCGGUUUCGUUUUGCAGCAGGCGAGAGAAUAGGAGCCCAAAAAUUUCGAGAUUUGAACCGUAGCACCCUUGCAACCAUACAAGAUGGGUGGUGCUUUCCGAAAUCAUUGAAUUUUCUCUUAUAUUUAAAGUGUCAUUUUUGAGCAUAUGUAUGUAUAGUAUCUUCAUGCAUUGUAGGGUUGAUUAAGAUAUAUAUUUGCAUGCUUGUAGUAUAAAGAUGCAUAUGAGAAGUUGAACAAAGAGGAAACCCUAUGUAUGCAUAAAUGGUGACAAAGAUCUAGAUAAGGUAAAGAACAAAAUGACAUAAUGACAUAUGGAUGGUGUGGCAUUAGUAAACACAUAGAGUGGCAUCAAUGAGUUUGAAUGCUAGUGUUGAACACUUAGUGUGUGUGGCAAUAAUGAAUGCAUAUAAAUGAGUAUAAAGAACAUGUAGUGUAAGUGACAUUAAUGAAAGUUAAAGAAUGCAAGUAAAGUGAGGUAGUUGAUAUUAUGACAUAACAACCUUAAAGUUAAGGGUCAUAUGAGUAUAGCAUCCUUAUAGUGAAGGAUUGGAUUGAACUUGGUAUCCUUAAAAUUAAGGAUUGAUCAUACUCGCCUAUAGUCUUGGCUCGGAGGAAGGAACCUCCUCCUCGAGAGAUAAGCUCCGGAGUUGUUAUCAUUGGGUUAGUGUUACUCAGAGGACGGUCCCAUCGGGAGAAAACUUAGGGCCCGAUACUAGGGAUUUGGUUGGUGAGUCUAUUGGUCCUGUCGGGAGGAAGCUUAGAGCCCGAUAGUAGGGACUUGGAUUGGUAAGUUGUUGGUUGAGGCGAAACCUACGGGUUAGUCAAAAGGGCCGGGAAUUGGAAAGUAAUCUUGCAUUCAUCAUGAGCAUUCUAUUUGAGUAUAAUCAUUGAUUAUAUCUUAUUCAGACAUAUUAGCUGCACUUGUUUAGUUGGUUACUAUCUAUUCUUUCUUCUACUAUGCCUGAUUUAGACCUAGUGGGAAAGUCGGCGAGGUCGGCGGCCAAACCGAUUGGAAACUUUGUUGUAGUUUUUACCCCCCCCUUUUUCCACAGAGCCGGGACCGAGUGAGCCGGCCGAUGAUCGCGGUAAAGGUAUCGCGCCAUAGAUAGAGACCACCCGAGUUGAUUUCAUAUUUUGGUUUAGUUGCAUACCCUUUACUUCAUCUUUUGUAUUUUGAUGAUAUAGAUGUAUUAAAGAUGUUUAAAUGAUGUUAAAUGUAAAGGUUUAUUUUGGUAAGCAUAUGAUGUAUAAAGAGAAAAAAUGAUGAAAAAGAAUAGAAUAGAAUUCAAAUGUUGAAUGCAUGUAUGUGGUUAAAGAUUAAUCAUAUUACUUGUAUACAUAUUUAGUUAGUACUUUUCCUUUGGCUAUUGCUUGCCCUCGUGCAAGCCAAUUGUGUAUGUUUCCGUUUGUGCAAAAUAUCUACUUGAUUUGUACAUGUGUUGAGUCUUGGGCGGACAGGGGAGGUGCUGUCCGUUCGACGUUUGUUCGACGUGCCCGAACCGACCAAAUAGGACCGGGCUCGGGGCGUGACAGUAGAUGUUGAUGCGGCGCUGCAUCCUCGGAGCCGGGGGUCCUUAGUGGCAUCGUCGCCGGUGCCAUGGCCGUUGGCAGAGAGGGGUGACCAAAAGAAAUUGUAGAAGAAGGAAGAAAAAAAAUAAAGACAAAAGAUUAUAGAAAAAGAAAGAUAAAAAAUGAAAUUACACCGUUAAAAUAAAAGUGUAUUGUUUUAAAAGAAUGUUGCACUAUUAUGAACAUAAUAGUCGCAUCUUAAGUAGUACAACUUAUAUUCAUAAUAGUGUAACGUUCUUUUAAAAUAGUGCAAUUUUAUUUAACGGUGCAAUUUUAUCUUCAUCUUUCUUUUUCUUUAAUUCUUUAUCUUUAUUUAUUUUUCUUGUUUCUUCUAUAAUUUUUUUUGGUCACCCCUCUUUGCCAGCGGCCAUGGCGCCGGCGACGCCGCCGCUAAGGACUCGUCGCUCCGAGGCUGCAGCGCCGCAGCAUCCUUAACGGUGUCGGCGCCGGCAAAGAUGCAUCGUCGUCAGAGGCGGCAGAGGAGGAGGGAGAGGGAGAGGACAAGAAGGGCUGGGAAGGGCUAGAGAGGUGUCGUCAUCGGAGACGGUGGAGGAGAGUCGGAGAGGGAAAAAAAAAAGAGUCACGGCGUGGCCUCGGAGGGGUCGGAGGCGAGAAAGGUAGGGGGUGCGCGGGCGAGGGAAAGAGCGAGAGCGAGAGCAUGAGGGUGAGAGGCGAAGCGGGCCGUUUCCACCUCCGCCUCUGCCUCCACUGCUUUCUUCAGCGAGAGAAAAAAAAAUAAACGAGAGAAAAGAAGAGUAGAGAGAAAGAUGAGAGAGAAAAAGUAAUAAAGGUAUUUUGGUCAGUUUGCUGAAAAUUCGGACCGAAUCUGCAAAAUCAAAAAAGGCGGCCCAGUUUUGCAAAAGCCCAAAAUUUAUAAAUUUUUUAUGCAAAUUUGUCUAUAUAUAUAUAGAGAGCGAGAGAGAGAGAGAGAGAGAGAGCGAGCUAGGCUGGUAUACUAUCGGUAGCACGGAGGCCUCCGUGCUACCAAUUAGUUUUCGAUGAUGCGGCUUCCAAAUCGACGAUCGGCUCCAUUAGACUUGAUCUACACUAUUAAAAGUAUUUGGAAACUAAAUUUCAUAACUUUUCGACAUUAUUUGGCUAGUGAUCAAAAUGUCUCAAGAUUGACAAUUUUAAUGGUAGAUGUGAUGCGUUUGUGAAUUUAACGGUGUAAAACAAUCCAAAUUUGAUGAAAAUUUUAUAGAAAUUUUUUUUCACUAUUUAGAGUAAGAUCAGUACCUCUGAUCUUAAAUUCAAGUCUUUUAUCAUCAUUUUUUAUGAGAUUUUUAUUUUAAGCCGUUCAUUUUAAGACUAUUCGAUUGAUAGGUAAACGAUGCCAAAAAAUUAUGAAAUUUCGUUUACAAAUACUUUUAAUAGUGUAGAUCAAGUCUAACGGAGCUGAUCGUCGAUUUGAAAGCCGCGUUAUCGAAAACAACUUGGUAGGACGGAGGCCUCCGUGCUGCCGAUAGUAUACCACCCUAACGCGCUCUCUCUCUCUCUCUCUCUCUCUCUCUCUCUCUUCUCUCUCGUCUCUCUCUCUCUAUAUAUAUAUAUAUAUAUAUAUAUAUAUAUAUAACUCUAUAUAGAGUAAGUCUCAUAUAUUUUCGAAAGUACGGAGACCUCCGUGCUUGUAAGUUGUUUUCGAUGAUAGGAAAUCCGAUUCGACGAUCGGCUCCGUUAGCUAUAAUCUUCCCUAUUGGAACUAUUUAGAAACCAAAUUUUAUAAUUUUUUGACAUCAUUUACCAAGCGAUCAAAAGGUCCCAAAAAUGACUAUUUUAACCGUUUGUAAGUUUAACGGUGUAGAAAUAUCCAUAUCACAUGAAAUUUUGAUAGAAAAUUCUUUAUACUAUAUAAAAUAAGAUCAAUAUUUUUUAUCUAAAAUUUUAAUGUCAUAUUAUCACGUUUUGUAAGAUUUUUAUUUUUAGCCGUUGAUUUUGAGCCCUUUCGUUCACUAGGCAAAUAAUAUCAACAAAUCGCAUAAUUUAUUUGCUAGGUACUUCAAAUACUCUAGAUCAAGUUUAACGGAGCCGAUCGACGAUUCGAAAGUCGCAACAUGAAAAACGACCUGAAAGCACAGAAGGGCUCGUGCUUCCAGAAGCAUAAUAGCCUCACUAUAUAUAUAUAUAUAUAUAUAUAUAUAUAUAUAUAUAUAGUAGGUCUUGUUUGCUAUUAGGAGCGUGGAGGCCUCCGUGCUUCUAAGCCGUUUUCGAUCACGAAGUUUCCGAAUCGACGAUCAGCUCUGUUAGACAUGAUCUAGCAUAUUUGAAGUAUUUAGAAAAAAAAUUUUGCGAUUUUUCGAUAUCAUUUACCUAGCGAUCGAAAGGGUUCAAAAUCAACGACUGAGAAUAAAAAUCUCAAAAAAAAAUGGUGAUAUAGCACUAAAAUUUUCGAUCAGAGAUAUUGAUUUUGCUGUAAAUAGAAAAAAAAAUUUUCUAUCAAAAUUUUAUUUGAUUUGAAUAUUUCUACACCGUUAAACUUGCAAAUGGUAUACAUCAACCACUAAAAAUUGUUAAUUUUGAACCCUUUUGAUCGCUAGGUAAAUGAUAUCGAAAAAUCGUAAAAUUUAUUUUCUAGAUAUUUAAAAUAUGUUAGAUUAAGUCAAACGGAGACGAUCGUCAAUUCGAAAACUCUUUCAUAAAAAACGGCUUAGGAGCACGGAGGGCUCCAUGCUCCUAAUAGCACACAAGACCUACUAUAUAUAUAUAUAUAUAUAUAUAUAUAUAUAUAUAGAGUCUGGCUGCUAUGCUAUCGAUAGCACCAAGUAUUUGGUGCUAUCAAAUUUUCUGCCGUUAGAUUAAUCCCUUUGCUUAUUUUUAUCCGUUAGAUUAUACUAUUCAACCAACCACCCACUCAACUCUAGGGAGCCCACAUCAUCCUAACUGUAUAUUUCUCAAUCCAAAGGCUAAAAAUUCAAUAGCACCAAUAACUUGGUCCUAUUGAUAGUAUUCUAGCCUAGUUAUAUAUAUAUAUAUAUAUAUAUAUAUAUAUAAUACUAUUGGUCGCAAACUGGCUCCGUUGCCACCCAUUUGUUUUCGAUGAUGGAGCUUCCAAAUCGACGAUCGGCACCGUUGAAUAUGAUCUAUACCACUUGAAGUAUUUAGAAAUCAAAUUUUAUACUUUUCUGAUAUUGUUCUCUUGUCCAUCAAGUGGGCGUAAAAAUGAACGGCUGAAAAUGAAUAUCCUCUAAAAAACGAUGAUAGGAAUUUUGUAAUCAAGAUCGAGAGUAUAGAUCUUAUUCUAAAUAGUUUAAAGAAUUUUCUCACCAAAAUUCAUUUGAUUUGGAUAGCUUUACACUGUUAAAUGAGAAAACGCCUCAUAUCUACCAUUAAAAUUACAAAUUUUUAAACCCUUUGAUUAUUAGGUCAAUGAUGCCGAAAUGAUUUGAAAUUUGGUUUCUAGAUACUUCAAGUGGUAUAGAUCAUGUUCAAUGGUGCCGAUCGUCAAUUUAAGAGCCCCAUCAUCGAAAACAAAUGGGUGGCAACGGAGCCAGUUUGCUACUGAUAGUAUUCCAGCUCAACUCUCUCUCUCUCUCUCUCUCUCUCUCUCUCUCUCUCUCUCUCUCUCUCUCUAUAUAUAUAUAUAUAUAUUAUUAUAUAGAAUUAUGCUCCUAUACUAUCAAUAGUACCAAGCCCUUGGUACUAUUGAGUUUGUUGACCGUUGGAUGAAAAUGUGCGCUGGUAGGAUGAUAGUGGUCCCGUAGGGUUGAUGUGGGUGUGGUUUAAUAGUAUAAUCUAACGGGUGGAAAUGAUCACAAGGUAGAUUUAAUAGUAGAAAACUCUAUACUACCAAAGGCUUGAUACUAUCAAUAGUAUAGUAGCCCGGACUCUAUAUAUAUAUAUAUAUAUAUAUAUAUAUAUAUAUAUAUAUAGAAAUUAGGCUGGAAUACUAUUAAUGAGUAAACACUUUUUUUGCUAUCAAGUUUUACCUUGGAUGAAAAAUGUAAGGUCAGAAUGAUAUUAGUCAGUUAGAGUUGAGUGGUCCCUAGGGUUGAGUGGUCCCCAUGGGUUAUAGUAUUUAAUCCAUGGGUUAGAAUAAUUAAAAAGAGUUGAUCCAAAGGUAAAAAACUAAGCAGUAGCAACCAUGGAUUUUGCUACUAAUUAGUAGCUCCAGUCCAACUUGCUAUAUAUAUAUAUAGAGCCGCACUCUAUAUAUAUAUAUAUAUAUAUAUAUAUAUAUAUAUAGAGUCCGGCUACUAUCCUAUUAAUAGGAUUGGGACCCUUGUCCUAUCAAGUCGAUUUGAAUGAUCGGAACUUCAAAUUGAUAAUCGGCACCGUUGAAGUUGAUCUACACAAUUAGAAAUGUUUAGAAACCAAAUUUUGUAAUAUUUAAAAAUCAUUAUCAACUUCAUCAUAACAGUUGAAAAAUAAACGGUCAUAAAUGAAUAACCUUCUUAAAAUAGAUGUUAGACUUUCUCAGUUCGUAAUCAGAGUUAUCAAACAUUAUCUAAAUAGUAUAAAGAAUUUUCUAUCGAAAAUUCAAGCAAUUUGGAUUGCUCUACAUAGUUAAACAAGCAAACGAUUCAUAUAGGCCGUUAAAAAUUGUCGAUUUUACGACACUUUGAUCACCAUGUAAACCAUUAUCAAAAUUUAUGAAAUUUAGUUUCUAGAUAUUUCAAAUACUUUAGAUCAACUUCAACGACUCCGAUCAUCGAUUCGGAAUCUCGAUCAUCAAGAACAACUUGAUAGGACAAAUGCUCCUAUCCUAUUAAUAGGAUAGUAGCAUUAGCCUAUAUAUAUAUAUAUAUAUAUAUAUAUAUAUAUAGUUUGACUGGGCUACUAUCGGUAGUAAACUGAUCGGUUUACUACCGAUUUGUUUUUGAUGAUAGAGCUUCCAAAUCUUCGAUCGGUACCGUUGAACAUGAUCUAGACCAUUUAAAUUAUCUAGAAAUCAAAUUUCAUGAUUUUGUGGCAUCACUAACUGAACGAUCAAAGGGUCACAAAAUUUAUAAUUUUAAUGGCCGAUAAUUUUAACGGUAUAGAAGAGUUCAAAUCAACUAAAUUUUUGUUAAAAAAUUCUUUAAACUAUUUAAAAUAAGAUCUAUUCUCUAGAUCUCAAAUAUAAAAUUAUAUCAUCACUUUUUGAAGGAUAUUCAUUUCAGCCAUUCAUUUUUGUAUUCACUUGAUGGACAAGAGAACAAUAUCGAAAAUAUGUGAAAUUUGAUUUUCAGAUAGUUUAAAUAAUUUAGAUCAUAUUUAACGGUGCCGAUCAUCAAUUUGUAAGUUCUAUCAUCGAAAAUAAAUCGAUAGUAAAUCAAGCCGUUUACUACCGAUAGUAUUCUAUACUAACUCUCUCUCUCUAUAUAUAUAUAUAUAUAUAUAUGAACAACACAAGAAGGGUGCCAUUCCAAUUUCGAAGCGGUCAAGGAGACCGCCCAGGCGCCCCGUGAAGGGUCUCCACUUGUAAAGCAUUCACACACCCCACAUUCUAGUUUUUCUACCUUUUCCAUCUCCAUCUGUAGUAUUUUCUAAAUUAUUAAUUAACUAAUAAAAACCAACUAAAUCAAUUUAAAAACCUCGAUCCUCGUGCGACCUCUCUCUCUCUCUCUCUCUCUCUCUCUCUACUCUCUCAUACUCGCCCCUUCUUCUUCUUCUUCUUCUUCUUCCCCACUCUAUCUCUCCCUCGACUCCUCUAUAUUAUGUGUGUCCCUCCUCCUCCAUCUCCUUCACCUCUCGUCAAUUAAGUUUCACCUUGUUGUUGUGUUGUGUCCCAUUAAUAUUAUAUUAUAUAUAUAACCUUGUGUAACAAGCUAGCUAGCUAGCUAGCUAGUUGAGCACGCCAUGGACAUGGACAUGGACGCCUCCGCCCAUCAUCAAUGGCUCGCCUUCUCCCUCGCCCACCAACCAUGCGUCAGCCUCUUCGAUAACAGCGCCUUCUCCUCCUCCCCUAAUCCCCACCACCACCACCACCACCACCACCACCACCACAGUACUUAGAUCCCUCUCUCUCUCUCUCUCUCUCUCUCUCUCUCUCUUAAAAACAUGACACAUACAUAUAUGACAUGGGUUUUGUUGCGUGCGUGCGUGCGUGCGUAUGUAAGUAGGUGGUGGAGUGGAGAUGGAGGAGGCGGAGGCGGAGGCGGAGGAGGAGGAGGAGAGGGGGGCGGCGGCGGAGCUGAUGGCGAUGGCCGGAGUAGCGGGCCCGGAGCUGAAGAGCAUCACCGCCGGGCUGUGCCGGAGCGCCGCGGCGGAGAAGGCAACGGCGCCGCCCCCCCCUCCGGACUCCCGGGGCGCCGCCGCGGGCUCCUUCGGCCAACGGACCUCUAUAUAUCGCGGGGUCACCAGGUAUUAUUGUUAUUAUUAUUAUUAUUUUUUAUUACUGCUACUAUUAUUACUACUACUACUGCUGCUGCUGCUGCUAUUAAUCUACGUUUUGCCGAGUGUGGGCACGUACGCCCGCCCCACAGCGGAAACUGAUGAUGCUUCUCUAUUUGGUAAAAACAGAAUAAUAAAUGUAUCCAGAACAGAACGAUUUGUUAAUCAUUGAUUAACUUCUUCUUUUUUUUAAUGGGAUUUGAAUUAAUGAACUUAAUUUGUUUAAUAAAUUCCAGCAACUCGGUAACGAAUUAAUUAAAUUAAGAUAAUCGAUCAACAGUUUAUUGCUAAUUGAUAAUAAUAGCCAUUAAUUCCUACUUAAUGAAGCUUUCAAUUUUACUUAAAAUCAAAAUGAAUUGAGAUUAUUAUAAUUAAUAUGCGAGGAGGGGGUUGUUUCAAUUUGUUCUUGGGAAAUUAAUUGAAAGGCACCGGUGGACGGGGCGUUACGAGGCGCACUUGUGGGACAACAGCUGCCGCCGCGAGGGCCAGAGCCGGAAAGGUCGCCAAGGUAUGCAUGUCUACUCCGAACAAGUUCCACAGAAAUCCGAAUCUUUGAAUACAUACAUCUCUUUUUUUCUUUUUUUUUUUUAAAAAAAACUUUAUUUAUUAUAUAUGUACCGCUACUCCAACUUAAUUACUUGAGUAUUUUUGUGCUAACGUGCGCUUCUUAAUUUUCUGCAAUUCUUGCUCCUCCGUCCAUUUUGCUGCUUGGAUGCAUGUGUGCGAUCCUGCUGCUUCUCAGUCUAUUUGGGUACGAAUUACACGUAUUCAUUAGUGCAUUUUGUACAUUGUACCCAUUUAUUUAUUUAUUUGUUUGUUUUUUUUUUUACUUUCAGCAAAUUUUGAAUUAUUAUUUUUUUAAAAAAAUUUUGAAAUUUAAAUUGAAACGUAUACAGGUGGAUACGACAAGGAGGAGAAAGCAGCGAGGGCGUACGAUCUAGCGGCCCUCAAGUACUGGGGUCCGACAACCACCACGAAUUUCCCGGUAACUCUGCCAACCCCAAGGGCAAAACUGUAAUUGUACUCCAUACAUAAUAUGUAUAUACAUACAAAUAAGUUAGAAUACUAUUAAUAGCACCGAAAGUAAUUUGUGCUAUUAAGUUUUCGAUUCCUGAAUGAAUGAAUGUACAGUUAGACUGAUAGCAGUCUUCUAUUGUUGAGUGGCUCGCUAGUUGAAUAGUAUGAUCUAACCGGCGAAAAUGAUCAAAGAGAUAAAUCUAACGGUAGAAAACUUAGUAGCACUAAGUGCUUGAUAUUAUCGAUAACAUUAUAGGCGGACUAUAUAUAUAUUAUAUAUAUAUAUUACACGUAUGUGUACACUACUAAGUACUAAUUAAUUAACCCAUCUAUACAUACACUGAAGUAUUUUUUUUUAUUUUAAUAUUCUAAUUAGGUCUCCGACUACGAGAAACAGCUGGAAGAGAUGAAGAACAUGACGCGGCAGGAGUUCGUGGCCUCUCUCAGAAGGUGACAAACACUUCAAUCACGUGUCCCCGUAAAACCAUUCAUUCAUGCAUGCAUGCAUGCAUGCAUGCAUGCAUCAUGGUGUACGUAUUUAUUUGGCGUAUUGUUCUUAAAAAAACCUCCUGCUUUUUUUUUUUUUUCUUUUUUCUUUUUGAGGUACAGGAAGAGUAGUGGGUUCUCGAGAGGGGCCUCUAUCUAUAGAGGAGUUACCAGGUUAGUUAUAUUAUUAUGUAUAUGUAAUGGUAGUUUCUUUCGGUAUUCAUAAAUAAAAAAAGAAAAAUCAAUUAAUCGUAUUUCUAAUGUAGUGUAAUACCACGCAUUAAAUUGUAACUCUAGUAAAAUAAAUAAAUAAAUUUGAUUUUCAUAUAAAUUUUCUAUAAUUUUCGUGUUUUUGUUUUUGUUUUUUUUGUUUUUUUAAUUUGCAGACACCACCAACAUGGCAGAUGGCAGGCGAGGAUAGGAAGGGUGGCAGGGAACAAAGACCUCUAUCUUGGAACAUUCAGUAAGUUUUUCAGCUCUUCAAGAAUUGUUACUCCUGUUAUCUUUUUAUUUGACUAUUCAGAAUUUUUUUUCCUACUUGGAAAAGCAACUGCUACACAUUUUGUUAACUAAAGUUCUGUAACGCUAUUUUGCUAGCUAGGAUGCUGAAAUAAACUUUUAGUAUCUGCAAACGUAAUAUUAAUUUAAGUUUGAUUUUCAGCUUUUACUAUACGAAGAAGCUAGUUUAAGUUAUUUUUUCUUACAAAAAAAGAGGAAAGAAAAAGUGAUAGAACUCACUUUGAUAAACCUGCUAAUGUUCCAGCUUAAGCCAAAUUAACAUUACAAAUUGUUUUAGUUUCAAAAGUGAUGAUUGGUGAUAGAUAUCUUUAAUUAUCUCAAAUGGGAAAAAGUUAAUUGGUAUAAUAUUUGACGGGCAUGGUUUCAAUCUAGGUACUCAAGAAGAGGCGGCAGAGGCGUACGACAUCGCAGCGAUCAAGUUCCGCGGUCUGAAUGCUGUGACCAACUUCGACAUCAGCCGAUACGACGUCAAAAGCAUCAUCAGCGGCAGUCUUCCCAUAGGUGGGAUGUCCGGCCGGACAUCCAAGGCCUCCGAGUCGUCCUCGUCGUCGGACACAAUCAGUCUCCAAGCAAAGCAGCAGAUGGAGCUUCUUCCCAUUAAUCAAGACCAGGACUACUGGUCUUUGCUAGCCCUCCACCACCACCAACAACAGCAAAGUGACAACCAGGCGCUAGGGCUAGGGUUUGGGGGGUUCUCUUCUGGCUCUGGGGUUACUGUGGACUUCUCCAAUGCUUCUAAUGGCGCAACAAUGGGGCAGUGCAGCAGUUUGUGGAAUGUUAGCAAUGUGACAGCGGGCCAACAGCAUGAUCAGGAGCAAUCACAGAGUAGCAGUUGCUCUUCUAUACCAUUCGCCGCUCCUCUCGGCUUUGGAUCAGUAGGGUGCUACGAGGGUUCUAAUUAUGGAUCAGCUGGUACUUGGGUUGCUACGCCAACUCCUGGUGCUUCCUCUUACUAUGCCCAGGGUGCUAAGCCAAAUGUAGCAUUUCUUCAGACACCAAUCUUUGGGAUGGAAUGAUAAUUAUGUGAGUGGUAUCUAGCUCACAUCUCCCUGAGUAUAUAUGGUGUUUAUGGUACCCAAAAAUUAAAAUUAAAGAUCCCCGUCGUUUUCUCUGCAGAUCAAGUUAGUUAAUUAGCCUUUUAAUAACAUGUAUGUGCAGGUACCUGAAUUAAUUAUACUCGGGUGUAGAAAUUUGUGGUGCUAAUAUAUAUUGCUGACAUAUACAAAUUCUGACUAGCUAAUCAGCAAUUAAUAUUUCGGGGCAUCUUUGCUGUAAUCAUAGAAAUAUAUAUAUAUAUAUAUAUAUAUACUAGAUCUCCAUAGGUAGGUUUUAAGUCUGUGAAAGAGAGAGUCAAAAGGAAGAGAAAAAGAGAUAGGGAGGUGAUGUGAACUGACAGAGCAACCAAACAAAAAGAAGGGAAGGAAAGGAAAAUGGAGGGGAGGACAGACACAGGACUAACAAGAAAAGAGAAGCUCAAGUUUUUUUUUUGCCUCAUGCAUUGUCAUGCUGUGUUUCUUCUUCUUUUUCUUUUCACUGACAUGAUUCUAUACUGCCAUCAUCACUACCUACUGUAAUGCAAAGCAAGGAACUGUCUGCAGCUUUUCCUUUUUGUUUCUUUUCUUUUCUUUUCUUUUUUCUGAACCUUUUUUUUCUUUUCCAAAGCUCAUGCUUAGCUUUUAUCAGCAGAAGGUCGAUGAAAAUUUGCUCUCAAAGUUCUAAAUGGGGUAAUUCUGGCAAUCAGUACAGCUAGGGUUAGAGGCUGUAUAUAUAUAUAUAUAUAACUGGCAUGUAGUGUAACAUUUGCUGGCAGUAGAAAUGUUUGAUAGAUCACUGGAGGUUUGACCGGUUACUUCACCACCAAAAAAGGGGAAGCUUAAAUGCAGUUUAUCUCUAAAAUCUAUGAUAAUUUUUAUCUGGCUCUUUAAAAUAAAAAAGGGAAAACUUUAAAAACCCCCCGUGGUUUCGCACUUUUUCACUUUAUUACUCUGUGAUUUAAAAUGUAUCAAUUUGCCCUCAUGUGGUUUUGUUUUUAUCUUUUCGGCAGUUUUUUUCUUAAUAUUUCGUUAAAUUAUAUGCAAAAAACUUUAGAUACUCACCUAGAUUUAUCGAAUAUUUACUUUAGUACCCUUUAAUUUUAACUUUGUCACUGAUUUAAGAAAAAAAAAUAAUAAAAUUGAUAAUAAAAAGAGAAAAACGAAACCACAGGGGGCAAAUUGAUACACUUUAAAUCACAUGGUACUAAAGUGAGAAAGUGCGAAACCACAGGGUGGUUUUUUGAAGUUAUCCCUAAAAAAAAUGUAUUACCUUUCUGCACAAUAUAACAAUUGCUCUCAGUGAGGCAGAUGUUAGCAGAAUUAAUUUGUAUUAUACAUCAAUUGUAUUCCAGAUCUAGUUAGUCAUUUGGUAAAUUUUUUUUUUUUUUUUUUUCUUCUGAGAGAGAGAUAGGUAGUACGCUACCCGAUUCGUUUUAUUUCAUUUAGAAAUAAACUUAGUUGGAAAUGUGAAUCAACUAGGAUUCGAACUUGGGUCUCGGAUACCAACCACCAAACCCUUUGCCACUUGUUCUAGGGAUGGUCGGUUCAUUUGGUAAAAUUUUAAUGCAAGGAUUCUCGCAGUUCUAUUACAGUUGCGUAUAUUUGUUAGGCUAAAAUUCAUAGAAUUUUGCUAUAAAUAUUCACUUUUGUAUUUUAUCUUACUAUUUUUUAAAAAUCUCUACUUUCGCUUUUUUUAAAUUUAAAAUUGUAAUACUUGAUCUUGCUUGGUUGCUAUUUUCGUCACAGUUCUAUGUAUACACUAUGAUACAACUAGAUAACUACGUACCAAUAUAUUCAUUUUGUCCUUAAAAAUGACCGAAAAAGAAAAAUUAAUAAAUAAAUAAUAGGAUAUCUUUUUUAAAUAGCUACCUAGUUUGAGGAAAAGGAAAAUAUUUUUGUGUAUUUCCACACAUUUUAAGGGUAUAAAUAAAAUGAUUCAUUCCAUUAAUUAAUAUUAAUAAUUUAUUGGUCCAAAAAUCUCCGAUGCAAAAUGUUAAAGCCCAAUUUGUAGUAUAUUAAGUCUCCGAUUCUUAUAUUCUCAAAUUAUAAUUUAUUUUUUAUUUGAUGUGGGAUUAUUAUUAGGGUUGCAAACUCAACCCUCGUUAGACCCUGAUGUCCUCGUCCGAUCCUUAAUUCCGUAGCCCAAAUCAACAGGGGAUGUAAGAUCUAAUUUACACUUCCGACCGGCAAAUCGGUUAUAAUACUAAAUAUAAUGUAUGACCAAGCCAACUAGCACUAAUGACUUGUUGAGCUGUAAACCACCUAUCUAAAAUACUUAAACACAGUUAUUAGCAGUAAAGUCUCUGAUCUUUAUAUUUUUAAUCAUAAUUUUUUUCUUAUCCACUGUGAGACCAAUGAGGCAUCACUUGUAGGUAACAUAUAACGAAAAUUAUAGUAAAUUACUCUGUUGAAUCAUGCAAUUUUUAUUUUUAAGUUUGAGAUUUAAUUAUAAACAAAAGGAAAUGUAAUUUAAGGGGGCAAAUUGAAUUUUAGUCAAAAACGUAAAAGAAAGAAGAAAUUAUAAAGAAAUUGAACGGACUCCGAACCAUUUUUAUUGCAUGUAAAUGCUUUGAAAAAUUAUAUUUGUAUAUCUGAAAGUAGGGUGUAAAUAUUACACGCAUCCAUCUAAAAAUUUAACAAUAUUUAUUGAAUUCUUAAUAUUAAAUAAAGAAUAAUUGAUAAGCCUAGUGAAAAAAUAUUGGCCCUUGUAAGGAUAAGGCAUACCAUUUACACCCAAAAAUGCCUCAGAUAUAGAGGUGGCAGUGGGUCAAAUUAACUUCAUCAGUUUACCCAUAGAUAAUACUGUUUAUGUGUGAGUCAAUUAACCAAAAACAAACUUAGUACUGUUUGUUUAAUUAGCUAGGGUGAUGUAUGGUAUGAUCCAAUAGAAGUUCUGCUUGAUCGAUUAGCUUGGGUUGAUAGUUUAUACUAAAACCGAUGUGAAUCGUCGACUCAUUAGGUCCAAUACUACUAGUUGAGUCACUGGUUGAACAAGUGAUAUCAGCAUGACGUAAAUAUUUAAUUUAUUUAAUUUUAUUAUAAAAAGUAUAUGUAGUUUUAUUCUAGUAUUAUACUUAAUUAUAAAGUACUAAAUUUUAGACCAAAUAAAUAAAAUACAAGUUUUCAAAUUUUGUUUUUCUUAAUAGAAAAUAAAAUUUGCAAAAAAUCAGUCAUAAAAAAAUUUUAAGUUACACUAAUUAACGAAGAAAAAAAACAAAAAAUUUUUAAAAAAUCAGCUAGUUUGCUCAGAAUCGGAUUGAUUCACCUAUUUGUUGGUCCAAUACUGAUUCGAACAGUUCAAGUUUAUUUAUUUAUUUAUUUUUUUGAGAAUAGGUAGCACGCUACCUACUUCAUUCAUUGAGUGGAUGAAUUUGGCUACAGAGGUGAGGCAACGAAGGCCUCGAGUAAAAACAACAUCAAAAAAAAAAGAAAAAGAAAGGGAACGCUCAAAGCAAAUCUUUCCACGAAGAUUUCAGGAUCUUGAGCCGACGGACGGCUAAAAAAGGGUCGAGCUGUUGCUGGCGAAAGAUAAGAUUGUUCCUAGCCUUCCAAAUUGUCCACCAGCAUGCAAUCAAUUCGGAAUGUCCAUUACUCGAACCGCGCCCCGUAGCCUUUCCCAUCCACUUAUCCCAAACUACCAGUACAUCGUCACCUAGUUCGUCAGCGUGGACAUCCUCAAGUCCCAUCACCAUGAUGUACCUGAGAAAGACGCAUUGAGUGAAUAGAUGGUCCACAGUCUCGUCGUGGGCCCUGCACAACACACAAACAGUAUCCCCAGUCCACCCUCUCUUAACAAGGUUAUCGGUUGUAAGCAGUCUUUUCUUAAAGACGAGUCAGCCGAACACCUUGACCUUGAGUGGUAUAUGGAGCCUCCAGAUCUUGUUAGUGCGUCCAUCCCUCAUUCCUCCGUCGUUCAACAUCCUAUAGGCCGAUUUGACAGAGAAUUUAGCGCUGCUACACUAUCUCCACCCUAUCACGUCCAUAUGUUGGCCUACCUUAAAGCCGCUAACCCUAUCUUUGAGCGCAGAAAUGUUAGGUCCUAGUCCAGUCCAAAAGGUCGCUUCAUCUCCCAGGAUCCUAGUCCAGUUCCAGUCGUCGUUUCCAAAACAAUCCUUGACUAAAACUGGAUUACCGUCCAAAAACGAGAAAAUCUCCGGGAAGGCCAUUUUAAGUGUGGUAUCCCCACACCACCUAUCCAACCAAAAGUCAAUAUAACUACCAUUACCCAGCUUAUAAUUGGUCCCCCAUUUGAAAAUAUCGUUGGUGGUUAGGACUCCUCUCUACCAAUGUGAGUAGGGCCUGAAGCUAAUACCCUCCUACAGAGGUCUUCUUCUAUGGUAAUAUAAGUCACGGAUAAUCUUGAUCCACUGUAGAUGAUGUGCUGUAUGGAACCUCCACCACCAUUUGACCAGUAACGCCCGAUUCAUGCUAGCAACGUCCAGAAUGCCUAGCUCGCUUGCCUUCUUGCUCGAGCAGACAUUUUUCCAUGCAACUAAACAUCCUUUACCUGCGGGAUCGCUCCGGCCGCUCCAGAAAAAAUCUCUACGAAGGGCUUCGAUGUGCUUGAUCACCCAACAGGGUGCCUUGAAGACGGACAGAAAGUAUAGGGGGAGGUUGGUUAGCACAGCGUUGACCAGUAUAAGUCUACUCCCUCUUGAGAGGAGUUUAGCGUGCCAUCCAUCGAUUCUAAGUUGCAAUUUUCUAAUAACCCCUCUUCAUGCGUCCUUCGUGGGAGGUUUUGGGGAAAGGGGGAACCCAAGGUAGGAGGUGGGAAAGUUGCCAACUUUACAGUCAAGCAAGGUCGCUAGUCUUGCGGCUUUACCUUCAGUCUUACCAAGGUAAUAUAACUCCGACUUCUCUCUGUUGAUCUUCAACCCAGAAGCCCACUCAAAUAGGUGCCACAUCAAUCUUAGAUUUCUCAUAUAACUUUUCCUAGCCACUGAGAAGAAGAAAGUAUCGUCUGCAAACUGUGUGAGGGUCGUUGUACUGUCGUCAGAUGGGCCAAUUCCCUUGAAAAGAUUAUUGGAAGUGGCCUCGUUAGUUAAUCUGGCGAGACACUCCGCGACCAGCAAGAACAGGAAUGGUGAAAGCGGAUCCCCUUGGCGUACUCUUUUUUUCGUUUUGAUCCAAUUGGUCGGCACUCCAUUCACUAAUAUAGCUACUUUGACGUUGCAAAUUCAUUGCUCGAUCCAGCCACACCACUUCGCGUCGAAACCCCACCAUCGAAGAAUACUGAAAAGGAAGGGCCAAUGGAUCCUAUCGUAAGCCUUUUCAAAGUCCACUUUAAUGCCGACCCCCUCGGUACCCUUCUUACAGCCCCAUCCAAUAGCUCUGAUACCGUGACAUACGCAUCCGUGAUGUUCCUCUCUUUCAGGAAUGCUGAUUGGGAAGGCGAAAUUAACUCGUUCAUCGCUGCCAUUCGAUUUGACAAUACCUUUGAGAUGAUCUUCUGGAUACCGUUAAUAAGGCUGAUAGGUCGAAAGUCAUUAGCUGACGCCGCCCCUUCCUUUUUGGGUACUAGGCAGAUAAAGGAGUAGUCGAAAGAGGUAGUGGACAACCUACCCUUGUAUAAUUCCUGGAACACGCUGAGUAGAUCAUCCUUGAUAGUCUCCCAGAAAGUUUGGUAAAACCUUAAUAGGAACCCAUCAGGACCCGGCGCUUUAUCACUACCGCUUCCUUUAUCUCCUCUAUGGUGAAACCCUCCGUAAGCCACCUCAGCAUAGUAGCUGAGAGCCGUUUCGUGGUAAGAAGCCCACUCCAAUCCCCGAAGGAGAGUGGUGCCGUAGCAUCAGUUGUGAAGAUCUCUUUAAACUUGCGAAAGAAAUAACCCUUCUUAUCCUCCUCAGAGUGGUAAACUCGACCGUUUUCAGUCUCGACCGUUUUCUGUAACUACACCAAUCCCAUUGGCCAUUCUUCUCCCAUUAGCUAUACUAUGAAAGUACUUAGUGUUACUGUCACCCUCACGUAGCCAGUGUUGAUCAACCCUGGUUCUCCACAAUGAAGCUUCGUCAUUUAAAACUCUCAUUAAUUUAACUUUUAAAUCCUCUCUUUUCUCGACUCCCUCUUCCGACAAAUCGCCCUGAUCCUCCAAUAUAUCAAACUGGUGGAUUUCCCCCAGUUGUAGAAGUCGCAAUUGCACCAUUCUUUAAUUCUCUGUCGACAAUGUCUUAGCUUCGCAGUAAACGUGAGCACCGCUGAUCUUUUCGCUGUUCCCUCCAUCCACCAUCCAGGCACUUUGGUACGAAACCCCUCAUGAUUGAGCCACGCUUGCUCAAACCUGAAAGUAUUCUUCCUCCCCUUGGUGUUUCUUUACGCAGUGAGCAAAAUGGGAUAGUGAUCUGACGUGGCUCGGGGAAGGGCUACCACCUUGGAGAAAGGAAAGUUUUGAUCCCAUUCCGUCGAGAGUAGGAAUCAAUCAAGUCUCGCAAGAGUCGGAGUCUCUUGCAUGUUGGACCACGUGAACGACUGAUUUGACAUAGGUGGGUCUAACAGUGCUAGAUCGCUAAUAAGGUUGUUAAACAUUGCCAUAGCUUUAGUACUCCAAGCCUUGCCUCUUCGCUCCUCUCGCCUUCUAAUACAGUUGAAAUCGCCACAAAUUAUCCACCUACCCUCACAAUGCAUUUUUAGCUGUGCCAUCAAGUUUAUAUUAUGCGGUUCCAAGGAUUGAACUAAGCUCUUUUAUUAGAUGGAUCAAGGUGGAGCCGGUAGAAUCAGCCACUUCGGCCUAGGCUUUAAAACACUACUCUGGACCAACAAAUGAGAAAAGCAAACAACUAUAUAUAUACUUAUUAUGGCUCAUUUGGUUCACCUAUUUUAAACUAUGGAAUCAUAAUGAGAUUCAUUAAUUUCGAUAGUUAUUAUUUAUUUUACAGAAAUCGGAUUCUCAUCCUAUUUCACUCAGGAAUAAAACUGACCCAAAUCAUUAUGUCUAGUCCGGAUUGAAAUCUUGGAUUUGCCCAUUCAAAAGUAAGCCACUCAAAUUCAUCUCUCACAAAUCUAGUCAAAACUCUCUCGCAAAAUUCUUUUUGUCCAUUUUGAGUUUCAUUUUAAUAAUGAACUAAACAUUUUUAAAUGACCAACAAAUGAGAGAAAAGCAAACAUCCGUAUAUAUAUAUCUAAUAAUAGUAAAGGAUACUGGCUCUCAUAUAAGCUGAGGGUCAAUCCUGACUAAAACAAUACCAAAAUCUAACUUGGUUGGAAAAUAGAGCAGGAACAGUGAAGGUAAAACUGAUGAACAUCCUCACUAUCCGGCCAGUAAACCGUGUAGAGAUUCAGGAAAUUAAUCCUAAUCAAUCUGAAAUUAGACAACCGAAUAAACUUACCACUCCCAUGACAUAGGUGAGAAUUUAUCCUCCAACUGCUUUUUAUCUACUAUUAAUUGGAACUCGCACUAAGUAUACCUAGGUAGCAUCCGACUUUUUCUCUCUUUAUAUCUUUUGUGUGGCAUCUAAGUUGUACCAUAGACCUGUUGAAAGGGAUUUGUGCCUUCGAGAAAAUCACAUACUUUCUCUCUCUAUAGGUAGAUUUCGUGACAACUGCUCGAAUGUUCUAAACAUUCGCUUUGCAUCAGAAAAGAAGCGCGCGUGCCGCGGUGUACGUAUCAAACGGUCCCUUGUAUAUAUUGUAUUACAUGUUCCAAUUAAUUUGUGCAGAUCUGGAAUGAGAUCAUGAUCCUAAACAUUCUUACUUUGCUGGAAAAGAUGUCGGUCUCUUGGACGUGAAGUUACCCGGCCCGCAUGAGACAUUUCUCUGCAUGCAUAUGCCGAUCUGGCUUUCGAUGUUCAUUAAUUAUAUUCCUUGCUGGUCUUUCUCCUCAUCUGUCCACAUCUUCUUUUCCUUGCUUUCCAAAAGCAUUUUCUUUUGAACUUUCUUAAAUCAAGAAUACGAUGAUAUAUUAGGAGCGCAUUUGGAUUAAUGUAAUUGCAGUUUGGCUGAAAAUCAAACUUAAUUGGUGAGAGGAAAGAUAUAUAUUGGUUUAGCCAUCAACUAGCAUAAUAAUGAUAGAUUUACUAUCUAGUCAUAGGCUAACUUUUUCGUGUUUCUACAGGAGAUGGCCUUGAAUCAUUUCAAAAAGACUAUGUUUUUGAGGAUAUGUUUAAUAUAUAUUUAUGAAUAUAAUUGAAAAAAAAGUUACGGAAAAAAUAGACCCCUGCAUAACAAAUAUAAUUUAGUUGGUGCGCUCCUGCUGUGUACUCUUAUUUUUCUUCCCUAAAGUUUACACCCUUGUCUUACGUACGUAGUUAAAGCAUUUGUAUCCUUUUUCUUCUUACUCUUCCUCUUCCUCUUCCUUAUAUAUUUUUUUGCUUUUACUUUUGGACGCUGAUCUUAUAAUUAUUAAGCUUAUGUAGGCAGCCAUGGCUUUUUGUUAAUCAGUUUGAUGCAUGCAUAUCUUUUUGUUAGUUUACAAUUAAAACUACUUAUUUCCGGAUUCUAAUGAUCGUUCUAUUUCGUUGAGUACGUACGUACAUAGAAAUUCUCUCUCUAUAGAAUUGAAUUUAUAGGAACUUCUAGUGUUCAUAUGUAACUAUAAGAAAUAGUUUGAGGGCCUGUUUGGCCUAGCUUCUGAAAAAGUGAUUUCUGAAAAAAGUGAUUUCGGUUUGGAGAAGUGAUUUUGGUUAAUAGCUGUAGAGCAUUUGGCAGAGUUUAGAUAAAAGUGAUUUUUCUGAAGUGAUUUUGAAAAGCUAUUUGCCAAAUUUUUUUUGAUGUUUACAUAAAUUAAUAUUUUUAUUAAAUUUUAUUUUAAAAUAAUUUAAAAUCUAAAUUUAAAUUUGAAUUAAAAUUAAAAUUUUUAAAUUUCAAAAUUGUACAAAAUUUAAAAUUUGAUAUUUUAAUUUAAAAAAUAAUUUAAAAUUAUAAAAAUUUAAAAUUUAAAAUAAAAAUUUUGGAAUUUAAAAUUUAAAAUGUAAAAUUUAAAAAUUUUUAAUUUUUAAUUAUAAGUUUCAAAUUUUUAAAAUUUAAUUUCAAAAUUUUUAAUUAUAAGUAUAAAAUGGAAUAUAUUAAUAAUUAUAUAUUAAUUAAUGACGAUAUUUAGCAAUAAGUGCUGUUAUUUUGUUACAUUUAAUGUCAUUUUUUAUAAAAAGUUGAAAACUUUAGAGACAUUCACUAAUUUACGCUACUAAUUUAUCCUAUUUUGUAACAUUAAUAGUAAAUUGCUGCUAAAUUAUUAAAUCUAACGGCAAUUAUCAAGUAAUGCUGUUAAAUAUAUUAAUUAGCAUAAUUUAAAUAAAUGUUGUAGAGUAAANAAUUGAAAAUUGAAAAUUGAAAAUUGAAAAUUGAAAAUUGAAAAUUAAAAUUUGAAAUUUGAGAUUUUAAAUUUGAAAUUUUAAAAUCUAAAAUUUGAGAUUUGAAAUUUAAAAUUAAAAUUUAAAAUUUAAAAUUUGAAAUCUAUUUUUCAAAAUUUAAAAUUUAAAGUUAAAAGUUAAAAAUUCAAAAAUAAAUCUGAAAAUUAAAAUUUAAAUAUUGAAAUUAAAAUAAAAAAAAUUUGAAGUUUAAAUCCAAAAUCAGAAUCAGAUUUCAAGAAGCAGCUUUUUUCUGAUUCUGAUUUUGGGGCCUUCAAAAUCAGUUUUCUGAUUCUAAAAAGUAGAAUCAGAUUUUAAAAAUGAUUUGCCAAACGUUCUAUUGAGCCGAAAAUCACUUUUUAGCCAAAAACGCUUUUUAAAAGUUAGGCUAAACACCCCCUGAUUCUCUCUCUCAUAUUGAAAGAUAUAAAAAAUCCUAGUACAUCACAUGUGCGUAGGACACAAAUAGGCUCCCUCUCUAGAAUAACACCCAAAAGGUUAAUAUAAUGGUUCUCAAUUUCAGUCGUUCAUCUGUACCUUUUAAUUCAAUGAGUAUUUAUUGGCGGUAUGUGUUAAGAUUUGGUUAGAUUUAAGCUGAAUUCUAAUUAGAUUAGGAUACAUAUUUAAAUCUAAAUGUGAUUAGAUUUCUAGUUAGAUGCGAGUUGGAUUAGGAUAUUGGUGGUAUGUGUUAGGAUUUGAUUAGAUUUGUAGUUUAGAUCCUAGUUAUAUUAGGGUACAUAUUUAAAUCUGAAUUUGAUUAUAUUUAUAAUUAGAUCCAACUUAGAUUAGGAUAAAUAUUUAAAUUGGUUGGAGAUAAAUGAAGUAGAAUUUACAUAUUAAUUAUAGUUGAAUUCUUAAUUAUAGUAUUGGUACUAAAGUGGAGUACUGGUAUUCAACUGUGAGAAGGUUGGCAGAGCUCUUGGGUUUUACGGAACCCCUUGAGUACUAGUAUUGAUACACCGAGUAUUGGUAGUGAUUUAGGUGUUUACCGAUACACAAUCUAAAAUAAAGAAAGUCGGCAUUCGGGUUUCAUAAAACUAGCUUGGAAUACCGGAACUCUUGAGUGGCGUAUCGAUACUGGAACCUGUAUACCGGUAUUCAACUCUUUGACAACAGGUUUUGGCUGGUUGCUGGUUGCUGGUUGCUGGUUGCUAAUGUAAUUGAUUGGAUGGCUUAAUUGCAAUUAUACCACUCUUAUAUAAACCCUUUCACAAUCACCCUUUCUUUCUCUCAUUUCUCUCUUACGCACUCUCUCUCUUCUUUCCCUCUCCGAAAGGGAGAAAACCCUAGUUUUCAUUUUGAUGGAUCCUACUUGAACUAUAGGGUAGCGUUUGGUUUGGGAACAAAGGGGGGAAUAAGCUCUUCUUCCCCCCUUUGUUCCCAAACGGUAUGUUUGGUUCCUGGGAACAGUAGUUUCUGGAAAUCUGGAACAAGCUAGUAUAAGGCUGGAACUGCUGUUCCACCUGUUUCCUGGAACAAGCUUGUUUCUUGAUGAGAACAAGGUUAAUUAAAAUCUAAAUUUAAUUUUAAUGACAGUAAAUUAUUAAUUAAUCUAAUUAAUAUAUUUAAAUCAUUAUUUAUUGCUUUAAUAAUUAAAUAAUUAAAUAAUUUAUUAUUUAUAAUUAAUUAUUAAUAAUUAGAUAAUUAUUAUUAUUAAUUUAUUAUUUAUUAAUAACAUUAUUAAUAAUUAAUAAUACUCAUGAUAUUUAUUAAUAAUUAUUAAUAAUUAUUAUUCUGAAUGAAUCGAUUAUUAUUAUUAAUUUAUUAUUUUUAUAAUAUUAUUAUAAUAUAAUAAUAAUUAUUAUUUAUUAAUAAUUAUUAAUAUAUAUUUCUUAAUAAUUAGAUAAUUGAUAUUAUUAUUAAUUAUUAUUUAUAAUAAUUAUUAAUAAUUAUUAUUAUUUAUUAAUAAAUAUUAAUAUUAAUUAUUAUUAAUAAUUAGAUAAUCAAUAUUAUUAUUAUUUAUUAUUUAUUAAUAAGAAUAAUUAAUAAUUACCAUUAUUUAUUAAUAAUUAUUUAUAAUAUUAUUAUUAUUAAUUAGUUAAUCAAUAUUAUUAUUAUUAUUUAUAAUUAAUUAUUAAAUAUAAUAAUUAUUAUUCUUUAUAAUUAAUUAUUAUAGUUUAUUUUUAUUUAUUUUUAAGUAAUAUUUGAUGUUAACUAAUUACAUAAUUAAUUUUAAUUUCAAAUUAUAACUCUUAUUUCUCUUGUUCAAUCUAACCAUCCAAACACUAUUUACCUUCUAUUCCUGUAAACACUCAAUUUUCAUCCAAACGUAAAAUUGGUCUAGUUCCUGCUUAUACCUGAACUUGUACCUAUUCCUGAAACUAGCAGUUCUUACUUAUACCCGAACCAAACGCAGCCUAGCUAGGAGUAUUUAGCUUUUUGCUAUCACUAGUUAGCUAUAGGAUUGCUUGAGUAUGAUUGCAUUUAUGAUCACCACCACUCGCCGGGUAUUUCAUGUAUAUCGAUGGUUCGAUCAACUACACAAGUGUUCUUUUCUAAAAAAUGGUCGAACUCCGACCGACGGGCCCCUUAGGCUUCGUCUUGUUCGGGUUUAAAUAAGAACUGCUUAUUUCAGGAAUAGGUACAAGUUCAGGAAUAAGAGACAACUAGACCAAUUUUGUGUUUGGAUGAAAAUUAAGUUGUUCCCGGGAAUAAGAAAAAUACUGUUUGGAUAGAUAAAACGGAAUAAGAAGAAUAAUGGAUAGUUAUAAAUAAAAAAUAAUUAUAUUACCCUCUUAUUAUAUUUGGAUUUAAAUUUUUAAAUUUUAUAUUUAUAGUUUUAAAUUUAAAUUUUUUACUUUUAAAUUUUAAAAUUUGAAAUUUAAAUUUAAAAUUUAAAUCUUCAAAUUUAAAAAUUUUAAAAUUUUAAAUUUUAAAUUUUAAAUUUUAAAUUUAAGACGGAAUUAAAUUUGAAAGAUAUAAAAUAUCAAAUUUAAAAUUUAAAAAUUUAAAAUAUAAAAUUUAAAAUUUUAACUUUAAAAUUUAGAAUUUUAAAUUCUAAAUUUUAAUUUUCAGUUUACAAAUUUUAAAUUUUAAAAUUUAGAUUCUAUUUUAAAACAAAACUCUCUCUCUCUCUCUCUCUCUCUCUACAGUAGCAGGGGAUGGGUGGGAACAAGCUUGGUGGGCCUUGGGGUGGGAACUACUAGUUCCCACCCAAAGCGGGUUAUUGUGGGAUAACCCGCUUUGGGUGGGAAGAACUAUUAGUUCGCACCGAAAAAUAUUUGUUCGGGUACAAUUGGGGGGAUAAGGCUCUUAUCCCCCUCUUGUACCCAAUCCAAACGGGAUCUUAAUAUACAUAUAGUGGCCUUGCCUAAGUUAUGUAGUUUGAGGUCCUUACAACCAACAGUGGUACAAAUUGGGUAGAUACCUUAAUUAUGUGACAUCUUCACAUGCAUUUGAUGCAUGACUUCACCUGAGAGUACAUGUCGUUCAUUUUGGUUAUUUAUAUCACACUUAUUUCAGCUUUCUAUACUUCACCUGUAAAUCUUCACAUUUGAUGCAUGACCAUUUUUACAGGUGACAUUGAGAGUGUAGCUCGAGAUGUGUCGGGAGGACGAGUAGCUGGAAGGCAUGGCCCAAUUUUGGUCUUCUUCUAUGCUUAAGUAGUAUAGUAGAUGUCGAUCCUUAUUUGAUCACAUUGUUCAUAGAUAUUUUGUCGUUUUGUUUUAUUGUUUUAAAUAAAUGUAUGAUACAUUACCGACUUUUGUUAAGUUAUGACCGGUGAUGUUAAAAGAUUUUGUAAAAUGAAAAGGUAGCAUGCUAUUUGUUUCGUUCAUUUUUUAAAAAAUAAACUUAGCUAGAAAUAUGAAGCAACUAGCUAGGCGCGCUUCGAACUUGGGGCCUCGGAUAGCAACACCAAGUCUUUUGCCACUUACCUAAGGACGGUUGCCUAAUUAAAUUGAAGGUUUCAUAUGUUUUUUUUUUUUUUUUUUUUUUUUUUUUUUUUUUUUUGUGGGGAAUAAGGAGAUGUAAAAGAUGGAGAUUUUAUUUAGUUUGUAACAUAUGUUUUGUCCAUGUGGAUGUGUUAUGCGUUGUAUUACUUGGUUCCUUUGUAUUCUGAUGCUGUGUAUGUGUAUGGGAGACUCUAAUCGUAUAGACAGAGAAUUUUUUUGGCAAGUGGCGGGUUUGCUCACGCCUUGGUGAACUUUUUUGCACACUUUCAAAUUAGGCCCGCGAUGCGACAAUAUCCCUCCAUGAAGAUCUAGAGACCUCAGCACAAAGGUUUUCUUCAUAUUUCUCUACAUUGUCCCAUAUAAAUUAUAUGGUGCUCCACAACCUUGUUAUUUCUAAUUAGAAAAUUCUAGUUAAUAUUAAGAGUAUACUAAGAGACAAAGGGGCAUAUAUAUCUAAAAUGGUCAUGCAUGCGCAUUGUGAUGUGUAUACAACAUUACAUACACAUGUAACACAUCUUUCUGCAUUGGGGUACCUUUUGGCACCUCUUUCGUGUCCCCAGUUUCAAAACUAUAGUCUUUUCAAGGAAGAACCUGCAUCUUUCGGCGCCUGUUUUAGUUAUUAUGGGAGCACCCCACCAUGCAUACAUAUAUGGACCACCAUCUGAGUGUUUGACUGAAACUUUAGGCUGUAAAAAUAUAUAUAUAUAUAUAUAGUACUACACACACACACACACACACACACACACACACACACACGUUAGUUUAGUACUUGUCUCACUUGUUGUUUGCAGCUUUGGAUGCCUUUCUCUAUCUUAAUAUAAUUUAAUUAAACAUAGGCAUGAUCAGGCUUCUUUCGUACGUAAUGCUAGCUUGUUUAUGAUCAGAUGACAUGCGGUGAGUUACUAGCUAUCAUAAGUCUCCGGCCCACAUGCUACGUACGUACUUAAUUAGCUCUUUCAAAGGUAAUUUUGGCUUUUAGCUGCUAGGAGGCCCACUUUGACUAAAAAGUCUCUUGGUCCAACUUACUCUUAUUCUUUGAACUUGCAUGCAUGUGCGCCUGUAGGCGAUAAAUACGUACGUUUUCUGCAGGAAUUCGAAUUCGGGAACCUCGCCUGAAGAGUGUACGCACGAAUAAAUACCAUAUAUAUAUAUAUAUAUAUAUAUAUAUAUACUAGUUGAAUGUACGUGCAAAUGUACGUAACAAUUAUAUAUAAUUAUUUCAAAUCAAUAUAAAUUUGUAACAUUAUUAUAGUAUCCAGUUUUAACAAUAAGAAAUUUAUUUAUAAAUUAUAUUGUUAUAUUUUAUUAGAAAAUAUUUAUAAUAUCUCUAUCGUGUCUUUAUUAUAUACAUCGAACAUUUUUAUAUACUUUUGAUUUUUGAUGAAUCAAAUUUAAAAUUGUGUUUUAAACUAAAAGCAUCAAAUUUAAUUCACAUUUAAUUUAAAAUUUAAUUUUGAUCCACUGUAAUAAAAAAUAUAAUUAUUAAUUCAAAUUUGAUAUCUAAAAAUUAAAUUUAAUUUAUAAUUUAAACUCAAAUUUUAAUUUUAAUGAAAAAUAGAUUAAUAGAAUGCUAUUUUUAACAAAUUGAUCAUAACCGUUUGUUUUAAUUUGAGAUAUUUUUUAACAAAUUGAUCAUAACCAUUUAAUUUUUAUAUAGUAGUAGAAUUUAAUAGAUUGAUCAUAACCGUUCGUUUUUAUUUAACAUAUUUUUAACAAAUUAAUCAUAAUCAUUCAUAGGAAAUAUUAUUUUUAUAUUUAAUAGAUUGAUCAUAACCGUUAAUUUUAUUUGAGAUAUUUUAACAAAUUAAUCUCAUUCGUAGGAAAUAUUAUUUUAUUCUUUUUGGAUUCGCGUCUCAUUGCGUGAAUUCCUAUACGCUUUUAUAUAUAGUAAUAUAUAUAGUAUAUAUAAUAUAUAUAUAUAUAUUAUACACGUGCUCUAAGUGGUGCGUGUUGGUCCAACUUAAUUAUUUGUUAUCUGCUCGUAUGUCGAAAUUCAUGUAUAAGAAUAUAUUCCCACCAGAAAUAAUAAUAGAAUAAUAAAAACCAAUGUAUAUUAAUGUAUAAGAUUCUGUUCUUACAUAUAAAUUUGUAUUAUUUUUUGUUAGUUUGUUUUUGAUAGAAAAACUCGAUCGGAAAUGUAUUAGUCGCUGUAUAUUGAACUCUAUAAAUAAUGGCGUCCUCGGCGAUCGAGAAAUUCCUUUCACUAAUUAUCGUCUCUCGUGGUGUUAAUCAAGUUUACAUAGCCAAGCGCAUGCUUCCAAAGUGCUUACUUGUGAUAUACUACACGAGGCCUUCAGAUGUCCCAGUUUUCCUCGCUCCUCUAUUAUGAGCAAUAAUAUUCUUUAUUUCCAAUUUCGAUUAUUUUGAGGCCAUUUAGGUUUUAAAAGUGGUAUUAGAGCCUUGCCUUCGUUUUGUUUUUCAGAGAGAGGGCUAAUAAUUGUCAUAUCAAAGUACUUCGCCUGACUGUUAUUAUUCGUCCAUACUGAGACUUAUCUACAUAUUCCUAAUCCGCAUAUAUAUGAAUAAUAAAUAAAUUAAAAGAUAAAUUCUAUUCUAUUUAAAUCCCUAUUUUUCUGUGAUUAAGUAGAAUCAUAUUAGAAUUAAUAUCUCCUCUAUUACCUAUAAAUAAGGGUGGAAUUGGACUAGGCCUAAACAAGGCCGGCCCGAUGGCUCAUGUUUGGGCCGGGCUUUGGGUAUUACAAUAUAACUUUGAGGGUAGGUCGGACUUAAAAUUUAGCCUAAAAAAAUUUUGGCCAUAUUUGGCAUGUCAAAGGCCAGCCCGAUCCGGACCAAAAAACUCGAAAUAUUAAUUAUCAAAAUAAAAUAUUUAAUUAUGUAUAUAUAAUAUUUAUCUAUAAAAGGAAGAAAUGGUAUAGCAUAUUAUUAUUAUAUAUAUUGUUAUUAAUAAUUUUAUUAUAUAUAUAUAUAUAUAUAUAUAUAUAUGAUGAUAUAUUAUAUAUUAAAAAAUAGUUAGUUUCAUAUUAGGAUAUAUUAAAUAGUAUUAUUAUAUAUAAUUAAUUAUACAUAUUUAUGAGUAAAUAUAUGGUACAUAUAUUAUUAUAUAUAGCUAAUUAGUUAUGUAUAUAACACUUACUAAAUAUAUAUUAUUUUAAAAUUUUUUUAAAAAUUAAUUAGACGUUCUAUGUACAUAACUUAAGAAUAAUUUUAAAAUUUUAAAAUACCAUCAUACUCUUUUAAAAAACCACAUAUUGCUCUAAUUAAUCAAACGUACUACCCUUACGUGAGAAGUUCCUAUCCUAUUAUUUAUUUUGUAGGAUUUCUACCAUCGGAGUGGGAGUGAAAAUUGCUGAAGCAUAUCUUCUACUUGUAUAAGUCUUAGAAUAGUCUAUCUAUAAAAAUUCUCUCUCUCUUGGGUUCUAGGGUACCAUCAGAAAUUCUAGAAAUUUAAGCGCUGUGCUACGAUCAGCUCUGUUAGCCAGUUCGCAACUAGAAAGAACAACUCUGAAGAAGAAACACGUGACAAAAUCAAGAAAAUAUUUAGAUGGAUCGAGAAGUUCGUAAAACAAGACGAGAAUAGACCUUGGUAAUUGCAACACAAAUUCUGCAGCGAAAAAAGUAUGCAAAAUUUAUGUGAUUUUCAUCACGAUUAGUUCAUAAUUUUCAACUAUUUUCAAAAGAGAAGGAGAAUUAUGAUAACUGAAAUAUUCAGAUGAAGUCUUAGAUUAGAUGCCAAAAUAUUUGGGAGAUGGUAGAAAGGCCAAAAAGAGCCUCUUAUAGUGAGAACCAGGAAAUUUCAGAGCAGUUUGGGGUCCCGGAGGCAUUCCGUUGAGUUUUCGGAAGUGUCGGCGAUUGUUCAAGUAUCGUUUGGUUUGUAUAUAAAUAAGAACUGCUUAUUAUAGGAAUAUGUAUAAGUUCUAGUACAAACAAUGACUAGACUAAUUUUGUAUUUGGAUGAAAAUUUGGUUGUUUUUGAGAAUAAGAAAAAUAGCGUUUGGAUAGAUAAGAUGAAUAAGAAGAAUAGUAAGUAGUUGUAAAUAAAAAAUAAUGAUAUGACCCCUCUCAUUAUAUUUGAAUUUGAAUUUUUAAAUUUUAUAUUUAUAUUUUUAAAUUUAGAGUCUUACGGUGCUUGUUUUCACUCGAUGAUCCGUUUUCGACCUCGAAUAUUUUUUUAAUUUGUUAAAAAUAUACAAAUAAUAUCCGAUGAAGUUUUGAGUCGCAAUUGGCCGAUCAACAUCACAUAUGUAUGCUUCCUUGAUCUAAGCAAAUUAAUCCGCUGGUGCAAGGACCCGUUAAAGUGCAUCCGCACGUUGGCUUGUUUGUGAGUCAUGCCAGAUGAGGCCUACUUGGCGAUUAGGCCGCAGGUAAUUCCUGCAUCCAGCAGCAGCUGAGUCCAUGCGCUGGGCCGGACAUGGCCCAGCCUACAUCCAUGCACUUUGGGCCCAAGGGCGCUGGGACGGGGAGCCGGCCAUAUGGGCCGAGCAAUGCCCUCAAGCCCAACCCGAGGGCUUGCAAUUUGGGCUUGAAUUUAUUGUUUAAAAAAGAAAAAUGCAAGUAGGUGUUGGCAGUGAGAUUCAAACCCUCAACCUCAACAUUAAACUCGUAACUUGUUUCAACAAACCUACUCAGCUAGUUUUUUUUUUUUUUUUAAUAUAAAUUUAUGCAAACUAAUACUUAAUAUAUUGUCUAUGAUAUAUGUGAUGAUACUUUUCAAGUUGCAAUGUGUUAUUUUGAUUAAAUUGCAUAAUGUUCANUUAAAAUAAUAUAUCAAAUUAAUCAAGAAUAAAUCCACGUCACAAAUUAAAAGAUGAACAUUAUGCAAACUAAUACUUAAUAUAUUGUCUAUGAUAUAUGUGAUGAUACUUUUCAAGUUGCAAUGUGUUAUUUUGAUUAAAUUGCAUAAUGUUCAUCUUUUAAUUUGUGACGUGGAUUUAUUCUUGAUUAAUUUGAUAUAUUAUUUUAAUUUGCAUUGGAUAAGAUGAUUAUUAGUCUUUUUCAAACGCGAAAUUUUCAAUUUGAAGAUGCAGUGAGAAAUUUUAUUAUCAAAUUGGAUUGAGAAUAAUAUUGUAGAUAUUUGUGCAUAAUUUAAAAUUAUGUGAUAUAUGGCUUCUAAAAAUUUUUCCAGUGGAUUUGCUAAAUCAAGAUAGGCUUGAUGGAACGAAUUAUGACAUGUGGCAUAGAAAAAUUCAAUAUCUCCUUAAUGAGAAAGGAAUUAAUGAGAAAGGGAUACUUAGUCAUUUAACCAACAUUAUGGUUCAGCCUGAAGAAGGCACGACGGCUUAGCACCGUCGCGAUUUGCAAGCCUAUAACGAGCGGCUUGAGAAAGAUCGAAGUGCACGCUAUACAAUGUUGAGCUGUAUGCACGAUGAUUUGAUCAAAGAAUUUAAAAAUUAUAACACUGCUAAAAAUAUGUGGAAGCAGUUCAAAGUGAAAUAUGGUAGCACAUCGACCACAAGGCUUAGUGAAUCUCAAAUUCAAUCAAUAUAUGCCGGACCCGAAGCAUUCUAUGCCAGAGCACUUAAGAGUGAUGUCUGCUAUGAUAAGAGAACUUAAAGCAGCCAGUUGCGAGCUCACUGAUGAACAACAGGUUCAGUCAGUUAUAAGGUCCUUACCAGAUUCAUCUUGGGAUCAAAUCAAGAUUGUGCUAACUCAUAAUGAAGGUAUUAAGACCUUCAACGAUAUAGCUCGACAUCUUGAGUUGAAAGCGGAGCACAGAGAGGCGAACCGUGCUAAUACACUCGUUGCCCAUGGUGGACAGCGCAAAGGCAAGUGGCCUAAGCACAAGCGCCAAAAUGGAGAAAAUAAAUAUGCAAAGACUGGAAAUCACUGUGAGGAUUGAAAAUUUGACAGUGUAGCUAAACUUGUUAUUGAUGUUGUUUUCAUGUGUAAUUUAAUUACAUAAACACUCGUCAAGUUUCAGAAGAAAAUGAGUUAGAAUGGAGAAUUUACGCGAUCAUUACUAAUCACUUAAAGUGAAUAGUAACUCCGGUUUUCCGAAGAGGCCGAUUGGAGGAGAUGGCUUCUGGUGCGUAUCGGACUCCGUUCGUAGCACUCCAAUAGCUCGUUUUCAAUGGUCCGACUAUUCUGGAACCAUUGGCGCUGACGGAUUUUAGAUUUGGCCCACGAUUUUUGAGAAAACUGUAGAUACAUGUAUUCUAUGUAUUUGUGUGUAGUUUUGUCUUUUGGAGAGAGGAUGAGUUUCAUCGCGAAUCGGCGACCAAACCGGAUAAAACAAAAUUGUAGCUUCGAUGCCCCAGUCAUGAUAAAUGCGCUAGCAUGAUCCAAUCGAAAAUCUGACUGACGGAUCUCCGGGAAUCGCAUAAUGUUCGCUGAGGGGUCAAAAUUGGCAAAAUGGAAAAUCUGUGAAAAGCCCAAUAUUUUAUGUAUCGUUUUCCGCGAUUUCAAACGUCGAUGUGCGUAUGCGCGAAAUACACGCGCUGUGAGGGACUCAGUUGUUAAAUCUGAGUUUUUGAGGACUUAGACGCGAUUGUAGCAGCUGGUAUAUAAGUGCAUUUAGGGUUUUCUAUGCUAAGCCUAACUCUAGUUGCCUCUAAUUCCUCCAGUGGCACCCCUGUAAACUUCACCAUCUCCCUACACCUCGCCACGCGCACCCCGGCCGUUGGCGUGUGUCUCCGGCUGCCAGAAGGGGCGGCAUUGCUUCCCUCUCCACCUUGUAUCCUACAUUUCGGCCGGAAACCACCUUGGGACCAUCCUUAUCCUCGGGACCCUCUCCCUCGGUUGAGACCUGAUCUUCGGCGUCGUCCCUAUCCGCCCCCGCCGUCCGCGCGCGCUGCCGGCGUGGCCCGUGCUCCAUGUGGCCAACCCAGACUCGAAUUUGGCCGGGUUCAGUCUAGCUCGAGCCCACGAGCUGCAGUCGCCCCUGAUCGGCUAUGCCGCCCUCUGGGGUCUCCGGCGAUCCCCUCACCAUCGCCGCCGCCGUCCCAGUGGCCGCCGGCCGCCGCUCCCACUAACUACAGUGGCCCAGAAUCUGUGCCGGCCGAGCUAAGGCCAACUUGGCCUUCGCGUGCCGCCGCCGCCCACCGUCGGGCACGCUGCCCUCCCUCGGCCUCCGGCGAUGUGCGGCCGUCGCCCCGGCGCUUCCCCGGCCGCCGCCCAGCUGCCGUUGCUCCUCGAACCUGAGCCGAGCCGCAUGGAUUCGUGCCGCUCCACCGCGCCAUCGGCCGUCUUCUGCCGUUGGCCAACACGUGCCCGCACUCCCUCCGACCGGCCGCACCCACCUUUGGCCGGCUUGCCCGCCGCUGGCCACCCCGUGCCCUACCUUGCUCUGGUAAGGCUUUUAAUAGCAUUCUGUGCACUGUUUGGAAUUUCGAUCAUUUUUUCAGUGAUCCGGAGGCACCUCGACACCCCCGGAAGUGAGCAUGAUGAUCCCUGAUCCGUGCCGAACAUCGUGCUCACCUCCAUUUGGGUCAGCGAAACCCCAGUGUGCGUAUUAAGUGUAGUUUAGGCACUGUGUGCGCUAUUUCCCUGAACUUCGCAUCACUCGCACGCUCGCCAUAGUGGCCGGCCAUGCUCUGAAGUGUGAGCAUGUCCUCCGGCACAUCGAUACCUGUCAGCGGGUGUCUCGGCCAGGUCAGAAAAUCCUCGGUUUGCACUGAUGGGCCGUAAAACUCCAAAAAUCACAUUAAAUGAUGUGAUUUUAUGUAGUCGCGGGGGUUUUUAUGUAAUUGUACGUUGUGUGGUUACUGUUGGCAGUGUGUAUAGGCAGCGGGCGACCUCUGGACUAGUUGUCCAAGGCCCCAGGCCUUUCCGAAAAUCGAAUGUCGAUUUUCGGUGCGUUUUCGGCGAAAUCCGUCAAUGGAACGCGUUUUUGGUUCGGAAUUAUUCCAACGGUGCCUCACAAUAGAUCAUGUUGUCGCUAAGCCUUGUUGGCUGGUUACCCGCAUCGUUUCGAGGGUUUAGAAACGACGGAUGAGCGACGGUGGAUUUCGGUGUUGAAUUAGACACUUCCGGGAACCCGGAUCGGAACGAUUAUCCGACGAUAAUCAUUUCGAUGUGAGGUAGUGUGUUUGCUGCCGAGUCGCACGAAUAAUUGUGUUUCGUGGCAGCGGGUGACUCGUAGCUUGAGUCGGUGAGUUCCGGGACAAUUCGUGGGUCCCGGUGAAGUCCCGAUGCAAUUUUCGGGACUUCCGGCGUGUUACGGCAAUUGGUUUUGGGAAACCGAUUCCCAUGGGUUUACAUGUGGGGACUAUGAGUUAGUAGUUCGUAUUUGAGGGUUGGAUACUAACCCGGUGGACCCUUCGUAGGUUCGGUUGAUACUUCUUCCGCAGUCGAGAGACCAGUGCCGUAUACAUAUAAGUGGGUACUUUAACCCGAAGUUGGUACAGUGGUGCAUGCUCGGUGACAUCUUCUUACCCUUGUCUCUUGUUAUUAUCUUGCAUAUAUAUAUAUAGGGUUGAGCCUAGCACCCAUGUUAUUCCUGUUACGCUUUACUUGGUCAUUUUCUUGUCUAGCACCAUGAGUAGAAGUAGAGCAGUUGUAUAAUUUCAUGUGAGAUCGGUGACCUAGUUGGUCGAUUCUUGUAUCUCGUACUGUGACCUAUUCGGUCAGUUUCGUGACUUUUGUCGUCUGAUGACCUAUGAGGUUGGCGUAUCCUGAGGGGUAGGACUGUCGGUGUACUCUGAGGGGUAGGACUGUCGGCUAGUGGCUGACAGCUAGUUCUGAAUUAUACCGAUACAUGACGUGACAUUCUUGUCACCUAUUGGUCGAUUCCUGUGCAUAUAUGUUAGUUGACAUUGAGUGGUCAAUACUUGCAUAUCUUCGGAAGGAUGUUGAGUUGUUCCAUCCUAAUUGACCUGAGUGGUCGGUACUUGUGUUCCUUAUGGUUCGAUGACCUAUUGGUCGGUGUGCCCCGAGGGGGGGAGAUUGUCGGCUAGUUGCCGACGGUUGGCUAUUGAGCAUAUCAGCAUUGAUCGCCCGAGAGUCGUUCGCAUUUCACGAUCACCAGCGGUCUGAUCCACCGCAAGAGGGUGUUCUUCUCCGGAAAAGUGGUUGGACAUGCCAACCUGUGAGCCCAAAGGCCUAGUCUGGGUUAUAUGCAGCCUGUGAGUCUAGAGGCCUAGUCUCGGUCAUAUACAGGUAGAGUGGCAGUGGCACAGGCUUGAGGUUUGCAGACCGUCAUGCCAGAUUUCUGAUUAGGUAUAUUUGGGACUGAUCGUUUGGUUGAUGCAUACUCGCACUUUGUUCUGUAUGACAGUAGCGGCUAGUUAUAUUCCUCUGCACUGUUGUUUACCCCUGCAUCAUUGCUACUGUAGUUAUGAUAUCCAUGUAUGCAUUCUGUUCUAUUUUACAGUAGCGGUAGUUACAUGUUCUAUUACUGCUUUCUUUCCUUCCGGUAUUAUAGCUACUGUAUCUGUGAUAUCUACCUAUGACUUUGCUGAUCUCUUUCUGCGGUAAGUACUCGCCUUCGUCGGCUUGCGGUACCCACUGGGAGGGGAGACAUGUGUUCAUGUUCUCACCCCCGACCCCCUUGUCAGGUGACAUUGCGGAUCCGAGUCGGGACGGUACGUAAGGUGCACAUCUUAGCGAGCAAUAGAGAUAUCGGCCCGCCAUUUUGGUUAAAUUCCUCAAACCUGUCUUUUUAAUAAUUGACAUAGACGUUAUGGUUCAGUGGUUUACUUUAAUUGAAGUUAUAUGGUUUUUAUGAAUGUAACAAAGUACUUACGGAUUUAUAUGAGAUGAAAAUGAUUUUCUACCUCUCGUGGUGGAGAGUUUUAAAGAAAAAGGAUUUCUGUGUGGGAAACAGUUUUAAAAAGGUUUCUUGGUUUUCAUGACUUAGCGUUUUAAAACGAGUUUCCCGGUAGGAAACAUUUUAAAUAAUAGAUGUAGAUUUAUGGAUAAUUUAUGAUGAAUUAACUGUGGAUGUGAAUGGUGUAUGAAUAUGUGGAUGUUCAUAUGUGUGGUUGUAUCUUGUAUCGUGUAUCUUGUAUCUUGUACUUGUGCGAUGCUGUGCAAAUACAGGGGAGACUCUGUCCAUGUGAACAGUAGACUCCCUAUAUUUGGGGCGGAUCUGGUAUACCCUGGGGGUCAGAUUUUUAUUUUUUUUUAAAUUUAGGUACUUCCAUACGUAUUGACUUUUAUAUCAAAAAGGGACCUCGGGGCGUGACAAUCGCGUGCAGAAUGAGGGCGGAAUUGAGAAGCGCCGCAAAGGCAGGCGCGGAAAGAAAAACUUAAAUAAAGUAAAAUGCUAUAACUGUGGAAAUAUGGGACACUUCACUCGUGAAUGCACUGAGCCGAAGAAGGUAAAUCCCAUUCCUGACUCUCUUAUUUAUGUAUGUUCGUAUGUUUUUGUUGCUCAUGCUCUCUCUGAUUGGAUUGUAGACACAGGAGCAACAAAACAUGUAAUAAGAGAUCGAGCAGGAUAUGUGGAUUAUCAUCGGGUGUCUGCUGGCAGUCAUUAUGUCAUGAUGGGAAACGACACUAAGGAAAAAGUCCUUGGUAUAGGCGCAUACCAACUUAGAUUGCGCGAUGGUCGUUAUUUGAUAUUACAUGAUGUGCUGCAUGCACCGAACAUCCGAUGUAAUCUAUUAUCAGUUUUAGCGUAACUUAGAUUAGGUUUUUCUUUUCAAUUUACGGAUACUCAGUUAGCUAUUUAUUUGCGCAAGGACUUUUAUGGUAAUGGUUGUUUAAAGAAUGAUUUUUUUAUUUUAGAUUUGGACUUGGAUUUUAUUAAUAAUAACAAUAAUUCUACUUUAUUAGUUUUUUCUGAUAUUGUGUCUGAUUCUAUCAAAUGGCAUGCGAGAUUGGGUCACAUUGGACAAGAAAGAAUGCCUAGACUAGCUAGAGAAGGCCUGUUAGGGUCACUCGCUAAGCUUAGUCUACCUCAUUGUGAACCAUGUUUAGUAGGAAAGGGCUGCAGAAAGCCUUUUGGUAAGGCACGAAGAGCAACUCAUCCAUUAGAGCUAGUUCAUUCAGAGAUAUACGGACCAAUGAAUGUGAGAGCACGUCAUGGCGCAUACUAUUUCCUUACUUUCAUUGAUGAUUACUCCCGUUAUAGUUCGGUAUAUCUAUUGUCUCACCGUUCAGAAGCUUUACAUUAUUUUAAAUGCUUCUUAGUGGAGGUUGAGAACCAAACAGAAAGAACUCUAAAAGUUCUAUGUACUGAUAGAGGACGAGAGUAUUCAUCAGACCAGUUCAGGGAACUAUGUAAGGAAAGGGGAAUACGCAGACAGUUAACUUUUCCCGGCACUCCGCAACAAAAUGGUGUUGCAGAGAGGAGGAAUAGGACACUUUUGGAAAUGGUUAGGUCAAUGAUGGCGCAAGCCAACCUCCCUAUUAGUUUUUGGGGUGAUGCGCUGUUGACUGCUGCCUAUAUACUUAACCGAGUACCCUCUAAGUUAGUUCCUUCAACUCCCUAUGAACUAUGGCAUGGUAUAAAGCCAGAUUUGGAAGGCUUACGCCCAUGGGGAUCAGCAGGAUAUGUGCAUAAUGCUUCUCAUAAAUAUGGAAAGUUAGGCCCUCGAGCAAAUAAACAAAUUUUUAUUAGAUAUUCUGAUUGCUCGAAAGGCUAUAUGAUGUAUGGCAAGUAUCCUGAUGGAGGAAUGACUGAGAUAGAGUCGCGUGAUGUGGAUUUUCUUGAGCAUGAUUUUCCAGACAUUGGUGAGAUUAAAAAGAAUUUUGUACUAUACGAGUUGCAAGAACCUAAUGGAAAUGUCCCAUUGUUAGGCGAGAAUGAGGCACUGAGGCCACAUGAAGUUAUAAUCCAAAACAGUGGGAGUGAUCCUAUGGUCAAUGGGAGUGUGUCGAUUGACCAUGGUUCACAAAGUCCAUCAUUACGAAGAAGUAAAUGUGGAGGUGUUCCCCGUCAUCGAUUUGAGAUCAAAGGGGAAUCAUUCGUGUGUUCUUCUACGGAUGUAGAUGAGCCGGCUUCUUAUGCUGAAGCUAUGAGUUCACCAGUUUGUGAUAAAUGGCUAGCUGCUAUGGCGGGACAAGAUUGAACAUCUAAUGUUAUAACUGCAAAAAGUAUGAAUACAUCAAAGAUUGUUGGUAUAAGAAUACUAAAGGAAUGAACCAUUAAUCGAUAGUAGAAUAGAAGAAGAAGUUGCAAAAACUUCACUACUACUUGUAUGCAAAGACAAAGUAAAGAUCCACAAAUGGUUUUUGGAUUCUGGUACUUUAAAUCAUGUGUGGAAGGAAGGAACUAUUUGUUGAAAUGGACGAGAAUAACGUUGGUAAUAUGAAAUUUGGCGAUUUAUCAAAAUAUCUGUUAACGGCAAAGAAAAAAAUUAUUUUUAGAUCGAAGAGUGGUGAGGAAGAAUUCACCUCGAAUGUGUAUUAUGUGCCGGAAUUACAAAGCAACAUUCUAAGUAUGGACAACUAUUGGAGAAACGAUAUAUUGUUUAUAUAGAGGACUCGACCCUCACUUUGAAGGAUAAGAAUGAAAAAAUUAUUGUAAAAGUGCACAUAUAUAUCAAAGAACAAAAUAUUUCCUAUGAGUAUAAAGUCAGAUAUUGAAAUAUACUAUCACUCAGAAUUUAAAGAAGUGUCACGCCCUGGGGUCCCUUUUCGGCCAAAAGAAUAACAGAUGUGCCCAAGUUCUUUAUUUUUUUUUGAAAACCUUGACCCAAAAGAUGACAGACCCGCCACAAAUACGGAGAAUUCUUUGUCUACAUGGACAUAAUCUCCUCUUUAUUUGCACGGCGUCGCACAUUAUACAAGUCACAGCCACAACCAUUCACAACACACAAUCACAAGUACAUUCAUGUAGUAACAUUAUCUGUUGAAAAUAUUUUUUAUCCGGAAACUUAUUUUAAAAUACUAAAAUCAUGAAAACUGUAAAACUUUUUUAAAAAUCGUUUCCCUCAUGAAAAUCUUUAUCUUUUAAAAAUUAGCUAUCAUGAGGAGUAGAAAACCAUUUUUUUACAAAUCCACAUGAAAACCACGGAAUAGCUUCAUUUUGAGUUCUGAAUCAUGCCAUAGUCAAGUAACACUUGAGUAAAGCUGAAUAAGGUUAAAUAGAGGUAAAACUGAACCACAUGCAGUCUAAUUCAUUAUUCAACCAAAAGGGGUGAGACUAAACUGGAAGUAAUCAAGCAGAGAACUCUACUCUUGUUAUGUACGCGCCUCACGCCUCGUCUACUCGGUAUGCCAAGAUCACCUGAAAUGAGUGGGGGAGGGGACCAAACAGGUCUGCCAGUGGGUACCGCAAGCCGACGAGGGCGAGUGUACUCACUGGUAAGCAAAAUGUAACAGUGAAAGGUAAUAUAGCAGCAAUGUCAAUAGGAAACACGAUAUAUACAUAUGCAACUAUCGCUACUGUAAAUAACGUGCAUCAACCGGACGAUCAGUCCAAAAUACCCAAUCCAGAAUCUGCUGUGUCGGUCUAAGGAUCUCAGGCAAGUGCCACACCGCUCUAAAUGGCAUAUAAUCCUAGAAGUGGGCCGCUAGGCUCACGGGACGGAAGUCCGACCACUUCUUUGAAAAAGAAUAUCGUUGUGGUGGCCAAACCACUGGUAUACGUGAAAUACAUAUGAGUAGUGGCAAUCGAUGUACAUAUGAUCAAUUACUGCCGAUAAGUAGUCAACAAUCAACCCCUCAGGGUGUGCUGACCGAAUAGGUCAUCAAUCAGAAUUUCAAACUAACCAACUAGGUCACACUGAUGUCGUAUCAUGCAUAGGUAUAAUCAAUAAUCACUCUACUCCUAGAUCAUGAUAAUCAAAUAUAAAGAUAACCAAAUAGAGUAAGAUGAAAUGAAGUCAUACGGUGCAAGGCUCAACAAUCAUAGGUAAUGCGAAGAACAUAAGGAAAGAGAGAGAGAGUGGAGGGAAUGUCACCGAGCGUGUACCACUAUAUCAACUUUGGAUCGAAGUACCUAUCUGUAUCAGUGUCGCACCUGUCUCUGAACUGUACAAGAUUGUCAAUCGAACUUGCGGAGGGUCCACCGGGUCAGUGUCCAACCCAUAGACUCAAAAUAUGCAACUCACAAACCCCACACAUUUCCUAUGGAAUCGGUUUCCCGAAACCGAUCAUUGUAAUUUGCCGGAAGUCCUGAAAAUCACACUGGGACGCCGCCGGGAUGCACUAAGUGUACUGGAACUCACUGACUCUUGCCACGAGUCACCCACUGCCUCAAAACACAUCAUUUUAGAUGUCCUUGCAGCAAACACCAAGGUCACACGUCGAAACGAUUAUCGUCGGAUAAUUGUUCUGAUCUGGAUUCUCGAAAAUGUCAAUUUCGACAUCGGAACCCUCCGUCGCUCACCCGUCAUCUCCGAACGUUCGAGACGACGUAGGUGACCAAUCAACGCGGCUCAGUGGCAAAACAAAGGGUAUUCCAACAACGUCAAAUGGAAUUCGAGCCGAAACCGCGUUUCCUCGGCAAAUUUCGUUGAAAAAUGCAUUGAAAUCGAUAUUCGGUCUCCGCGAAGGGCUUUGGACCUCGGAUGAUCAGUCGAAAGGUCGUCAACCACACAAACAUGUUGCUCACAACAGUUGCACAGUGACAAAUUGCACAAAAGCCACUACAACUGCCAUAAUUACACUAAUACAUGCAAUUAGAGGGUUUUAUGGCUCGUUACCGCUAAUCGAGUACUUUCGAGGUCAGCUGAGACACAGGCUGAUAGAUCUCGAUAAGACGGAGGCCGUUCCUACUAUCUGGAGCACUGUAGGUCGCUGUGGAAUACAAGGGAGCAAGCCGAAGUUCAGCGAACGAUGUACACAGGGAGCAACUAUGCCGAACACGCUGAUCGGGACCUCACCGACAGCAAAUGAGGUGAGCACUGUGAUCAGUACUGACCAAGGAUCAUCGUGCUCAACUCCGGAGUUGUCAGAACCCACUUGGGUCGCUAGAACAGUUCAAAAGACCCAAGAAUGGCCUUAAUCGGCUAGCUGCAGACAGGGGGCCCAAACUCGGCCGACGGCGACUCGGUGGCGAGCGUGACGACUUGGCGGCGGGCGUGCUGACGGCAGGGGGGGCCGGCACUAGUGCUAGCCGGUGGCAGGAGGCGGCGGCGGCGGCGGCGGCGGUGGCGCGGGGACAACCCAAGUCCGCACAGGUGCUGCUCGGCUCGGGGUUCCCUUUCUGGCCACUGCGAUGGUCGGGACCGCCAGGGAAGGGAUGUGGGUCUCCUCUAGGACCGAGGGGGAAGGGCGGAGACGGUCGCUGGCGAUUGGGAAGGUGGCGCGGCUUGGCUCGGUCGCACCAGCCUUAGCUGGCAGCAGCUCUACAGCAGCUGCUGCGACGGCGCUCGGGGCCAACUACUACUGGCUGGGGGUGGUCGCCGAGUCCGAGGGAGGUGCCGGUAAGGGGCCCAUGUGUGGAGCGUGCACCCUACAUAAAUUAGGCCGAGAUGGAGGGAGGUGGUGGCAAUGUGAGAGGGAGAGAGAGUGUGGGAUAGUUUUUCAGCGGCUGGAGGUGCGCCCCGAUAGUCGGGAGGCGCGCCGUGUGGGCAGAGAAGGGAGGAGGGGCGGCUAGAGGCUUAGCUGAGGACAAUGCGGCUAAGGUUAGGGUUUUGGUGGAGAAGAAUGUCACGCCCCGGGACCCGGCAUAGGCCCGCUCGGCGUGUGUCCAGACCCGCCAUAUGCCUGUGCAUAUAAAGCAUCUACAACAAAAGAGAUGCGGAAGCAAGAAGAAACAAGUAUCUACAGAUAUCAGAGCUGCUAACAACUAAAAACUAGCGACAAGUAGAGGAGUAAAGUAGUCCACUAAGCAUACGCAUAAAAAGGUACAAUAAGAAUCUCAAAGAAAUCCACGGUGGGGUGGUUUCUAUACACAGGUAACUCUCCAAAACCUCUCCAAAAAAAAACAACGAGAGGUAGACCACCUAUCAACGCGUCCUCGAUAGCAAGCUAGCUCGAGACGAUACCCUUUCCGCGAUCCCUAGCCUCGCCCGGAGUGGAAGGCUCUGAAAUAAAACAUAAAACAAAAGGGCGUGAGAACUAUAAUUUAUAGUUCCCAGUGGGCAAUUACUGACCUCAGCUCAAUACACCACUAGGCCCCAAAAGAAAGGGUAAGCAACAAUAGUAGUAAUAGGCAAUAAUAAACUGCAAAAUUGAAAGCAUGAGUGAAAUGCUAUGCCACAAGUAAACGUGAUGUAUAUCAAUGCUAUCAUGUUUGAAUAUGCCAAUGUCGGGUGAAUACGCUCAUCAGCUGCCAAGUAUACUAAGAUGCGAUAAGUAAUCCUAUCAAGUAUACUACAUGUCCCAAUAUCUCAAAGCCACACUAUGAGUAUGUCCAAUAAUCCAACUACUAUGAUCUAUUUAGCAGUGAUUCAAAUUUAAGAGGUUAAGUCCAAGUUCAAUCUUGUUUUGGGACCUGCACGAGUGUAGUCCGGCUUGCGCUGCCUAAAUGUCGGUGAUAGCUCCAGCAUUUCCACUCUGGAAAUGAGUCUAUCCCUCCCGACCCCGUAGGCUUCUCGAUACCGCACGAGCGAUCAUAAGUCACGUAGGCCAACUCCGGAGUGCCGGCUUGUAGGGAGCGACCCUGACAAGCAUGUGCGAAUGAGCACAAAUGGCAACAAGCAAUAUCAUCAUCUCAAGUACCCAAUCAUCAUGUCUCUAACAUGGUAAAAGUCACUAGUAACCCGAAGGUCUAGUUCUAUAUCUCAAUAUGAGGUUUAAUCGUUCAAUAAUUUCUAUGUCAAUGACCAUAGCUUUACUACGUCAAAUCCAAGCCCAAUGCCCCUUUUACGACAUUAGCUUACUAAAUCAUGCAUCAUGUACAUCUAUGUUCUUUGAUGGCAUUACAUUACACUAAGUCCAAAUUUUGUCCCAACACUAGUGCCGCUUUAUGACACUAGGUUUCACUUGUCCCAACUACAUUACAAGCCCAAUGCCCCUUUAUGACAUUGGCUCAAUAAUAAGCUAAUAAUGUAAGUUUCAAGCCUCUUCAUGACAUUAUGUAUGGUCCUACAUGAGAGUUAUGUCUAAAUGCACAUUAUCCUUCUCAUUCUCACUAUAUAAAAUAUGCUCCUGAGUCAUAUCUAGAAUGCUAAGCACAUGCAUAAGUCUCACAUGCCACUUUCUACUACAUAGAGGCCAAAAAUGCAUUAUAUAUAAUGUAGGCAUUUUAAGCAUUCUAAAAUUCACAAUAAAUACAUUUAUCAUGGAAAUGCAUGAAUUUUUACUUUACGAAGCAUAAAACAUCGGAUAUGAGAAUUUCUCAUAUGCUAGGCUAGGUCAAACCCACCGAACUUCGCGCAACCCUUUGUUUGCUCCAACGAAGAUUUUCACUAAUCUCCUAGCACCCUAUAAGUAUCAAAAAGUGAGUUACAAGAAGUAAACGAACAACUACUAGCUCAAUCAUUAACCUACUAAGCAAAAGGGCCAAAAUCUCACCUAUAGUGUAGAAAUCCCUUCCCAAAGCUCAAAUGGAAGUUAGAUCCCUCCAAAGCUACCUAAACUAAGGUUCUAAUCCAAUUAGAUUAGCUCAAAAAGCCCUAAAUCAAAACGCCCCAAUUAAACCCUAGAUUUCCCACUCUAGGGUUUCAUCUCCCAAAAUCCACCAAAACUAGGUUUAGAGGGGAGGAACAAGCAACAAACCUCAUAAGAAGCUCCAAUCCAAGCUCCAAGAGUGAAGAUCUCCUCUUUAGCAAGCUCCAAGUCCAAGCCUUCAAGCACCCAAGGGAAGAAGAGAAGGAGAGAAAGAUGCUCCAAGUCCUCUUGGUGGUUUUCUUCUUCUCCUCCCUUCCUUCAUCUCCUUCUCCUUCUUCUUCUUCUUCUCCCUCUCUAUCAAGGUGUUGGGAGAGUGAGAGAAAAAGAAAUGAGGAAGAGAGAGAGUGGAAUGGCCAUAUAGGCCAUCUAAUGUAACAAAAUCUAGAGAAGCCCCUCAAUUUCCCAAUAUUGCAUCAGCCCGGAAUGGGCAGUUUUCGGGUUGAGGGACCGGUCUUCCCGACCUGGGACCGGUCUCUCGGCCUGUCCCAAAAAUCCAACGUUCGGGAACCGAUCUGUUCCCACAUGGGACCGGUCUCCCCCCGCGUGGACGCGCUCGGGGACCGGUCUUAUCCGCCAGGGACCGGUUGCCUCAAGGCUGCCGCAAUACUAUUCCGGGGGGACUGGUCUCUCCCAGCCAGGGACCGGUCCCCGAGAGUAAAAACUCUCGGGACUCGUCUAGAACUCAGAUUUUAUUCUACGACCCUCCACCAAGUGUGGAAAAGCUCGGAACACAUCCAAUCACUCGAACCUCACAAUUUGCACAGGUCCAGUGCAUUCACCCCUGCUAAAAAAAAGUUUCAUCCGCGAAACUCAAAGCAACUGCAUACCUCAAGACUCCAUCUGAAAAAGAUGUGGAUAGUGCUCCUGCAGCACGCUCUCUAGCUCCCACGUGGCCUUCGCUCCCGUGGUUGCUCCAAAGAACCUUCACAUACGGAAUGUUCCGAUUCCGUAGUUUCUUCACGUCACGAGCCAAGAUCUUCACGGGUUGCUCCUUGAAGCUCAAAUCCUCUCUCAGCUCCAAUAGUGUAGCGUCAAGCUCAUGAGCUGGAUUUUGGAUGUACUUCCGAAGGACCGAUACAUGAAAUACAUUGUGUACACCCGAUAGGUUCGGAGGUAGAGCAAGUCGAUACGCUACCGGGCCUACACGCUCCAAACCUCAUACGGUCCAAUGUAUCGGGGGCUCAGCUUACCCCGAGUUCCAAAUUAAUCCCUCUGGUCGGCGAGACUUUCAAGAAGACAUGAUCACCAAUCCGAAACUCCAAGUCUCGUCGACGCCUGUCAGCAUAACUCUUUUGCCUACUCUGGGCUGUCAACAGUCGCUCCCGAGCAAUGCGAACCUUGUCCUCCGCUUCCUGGAGCACAUCUGGGCCUAAAGUCAAUCUCUCGCCAAGUUCACUCUAAUGAAGUGGCGAUCUACACUUCCAUCCAUAGAGUGCCUCGAAAGGUGCCAUCUGAUUCUUGCUUGAUAACUGUUGUUAUAAGCAAACUCUGCCAUCGGUAGAUGCUGCGACCAUCCUCCCUGGAAGUCAAUCACAUAGGCUCGAAGCAUAUCCUCGAGAGUCUAUAUAGUGCGCUCAGAUUGCCCGUCACUCUGGGGGUGGAAAGCUGUACUGAAGUCUAAGCGCGUACCCAAAGCAUCCUGUAAGCUCCUCCAAAAGUGAGAUACAAAUCGGGGGUCUCGAUCUGAUACUAUAGAAGUAGGCACCCCGUGUAGUCACACAAUCUCGUCCAAGCAAACCUGUGCGAGUCUCUCACCAGUCCAAGUAUUGUGGAUAGGUACGAAAUGUGCUGAUUUCGUCAACCUAUCCACGAUCACCCAAAUAGCAUUAUGCUCGACCUGUGAGUAGGGCAAUCCUAUCACGAAGUUCAUGGUGAUCUUCUCCUAUUUUCAUACUGGGAUCGGUAAGCUCUGCAAUUUUCCCGCAGGAACUCGAUGCUCAGCUUUCACCUGUUGGCAGGUUAAACAUCUAGCAACAAACUCACCAACGUCCUUUUUCAUCCCGGGCCACCAAUAAAGCAACUUUAAGUCCUUAUACAUCUUGGUGCCUCC
rnacentral:lncRNA from 1 species